rnacentral:lncRNA from 1 species
UCACUAUACCCUACCCUAUCUCACAUUUUCUUUAUUUGUCUUUCACGUAUAGCGUUCAGUACUCGUAUUCGGUCAAAACUUUUUCCAUACUCAAGACUCGAACCUAAACCUCUAGCCAAGAUCGGAGAGAUUCUACCCAUCCCACACUACAGCCACAACAUGGUGGUACCCUAUCUCACAUCAUGAUUUCAUUGUUCACUCAAAUCUCAACAACAACAACUACGACAAGGUCCAGUAUAAUUUCACAAGUAGAGUUUAAGAGGGUAAUGUGUUUGCAGUCUUACCCUACUUUAUAAAAGUAAAAAGUCUAUUUCCGAUAGACCAUCGGCUUAGGAAAAACAUAGACACAACAUUAUCAACAAUGACAACUCAAAUCUCAAAAAGUAGAAAGAUUCAAUCAACACUAAUAAAAAUGGGUCGAUAUUUUCUGCAAAUGCCACUCAUAUCAAUGCUAUAUAAAUAGGACAAGAGUAGUAUUACCCCUCAUCAGUCAUCAGUACUAAAAACUAGUGUUUUCCAGAGUUCUCAUAUAUACUCAUUUUAAGUUUUCAUUUUGUCAAAAAAUGGUGGUAAUUGUGAGCGAAAACACAUCACCUUUUCUUCCUAGCAGGAUUCAAGCAAUUGAAGCUAGGCCUGUAUUUAGCUUCUGUUGUAUGAAUAGAGAGUCUGAAAGUGAUGAUGAUGACGACAUCGAUGAUGGAGCAAAAGUGGCACCUGCCGCAUAAUCUUUGCAUGGGUAAUUUAUCGUUCAGAUCAUACAUCCAAUUAGAAAUAAUUUUUUUGUCCAAUAAAAAAAAAAUUGCUCUCACCAGAAAUUAUUCCUUAAGAAAAUUGGGUUAGGGAGGGACUUGUUACCUCCUUAGAAUAAGUAAGAACCCCUAUUUAGUCAUAAAGGGGAGACUUACACAACCGUAAAGUUGUAUUCCUCUAAUCUAUAGGUUAUGAGUACUUCGAGUCGUUGAAUCAGUCACUCAUAUUUGUAUUAGGGUAGGCUACCUAUAUCACUCCUUUUAGAUGCGGUUUUUCUCUAAACUUUGCGUGAACACGGAAUAUUUCGUGCACCGAACUACUUUUGUUUUUAAUUUGGUCUUAAAGUCUUUAUUGGAGUAGUUAAUAGUGAUGUGAAUGUACGAGGAUAUCUCAAUUUCCUAUUCCUAGAGCUAGCAAGUUUAUUCAUGUAGUGAAAGUAAACGACAUCUAAUUAAAGAAGUGCUUUGUCUCUACUUCGUUUAGUUGCAAAAAUUUCCAUUUAUUGUCUUCUUUCUGGUAUCAGUAAUUAGAACCACUUUUUUAUUAUCUUGGAGCUAUUAUACAUUUGGAAUUAAAUAUCAUAAGAGAUUAAAUAAUCAAGGGUGUUCAAAUUUAAAAGAAGUGGAAAAUUUUUUGACAAAUGGUGUUAAAUAUGUGUUAUAUACUUCGAAAAUAUAAUAUUUUACUUAUGUAAACAGAGUAAUUUUUCGACGAAGGGUGGUCAGUUGACCACCUUAUCAAUAUGUGGCUUCGCCACUGCUUCCAAUGGUGGUUUAAUGCAUUCCUCAUUGACGUAAGCGUCACAUGAGCCUGGCUGACCUAAACGGUACGGUUAAGUCUAAGAUAAGCACGACCGUCAUGGGUGAUUUUUAGUAUGGGAAGUAACUUUAUUCCAAGAAAUGAGGAACUUCAAAAAAUAAUCUACGUUUAUACUUCAACCUUCAUUUGGAACCACUACUUUAAUCAUUUCUUGAAACAUUAAACUUAUAAUCUGUGGGUAAUUAGUUUCUUGUGUUCUCGCGUUUUAAAAUAGAAUUGCUACAUUUAUGGACUACUUUAGACUUUCCUAUUUCCCUUUCCUUUCUAACAAACCCAUUUCAAGAAAACCUACAAAAAAGACCACAUAAAAAAAAAAUACAACAAAAACACUUUUUUCAUGGAAAAAAGAGGAAAAAAACGAGAGAAUAUAUAUAUAUUAAAAGAGGCAAUGAAUCUACCUGAAGAUGUAAUUUUCGAGAUUUUGAUCAGACUGCCAGUAACUUCUCUGGUUAGGUUCAAAUGCGUUUGCAAAUCAUGGUAUUCUCUGAUCAAAAACCCUAAUCUCAUAUCAAAGCAUUUGCAUAAUCUGGGCAGCAGAAAAAAUUACGUUCGUUUGUUAAUUAGUCGCCGCGGAAAUAUUACAAAUAAAAGGGUGGUCUCAUUAUCCAUGAAUGACACAUUUGAUGUGUUUAUUAAUCAAGAUUUUCCAUCAUAUUUCAAUGAUAAAUUUGGUCACGUUAGACUUAUUGGUCCAUGUAAUGGAAUUGUUUGUUUAUGUGGAUAUCCAGAUAAUAUUGUUAUAUGGAAUCCUUCAAUUAGAGAUUACAAAAUAUUGCCCCAAUCACAAAUUCAACGUCUAGUUGGUUCAACAGUACGAGGGAGUGAUUUUGGAUUAGGGUUUGAUUCCAAAAGAAAUGAUUAUAAGGUAAUACAAAUUUUAUUUUGUCUUUCAAAUGAUCGUGUUGUUGUUUAUCAUGUUGAGAUAUAUUCAUUAAAUGAAAAUAUUUGGAGAAAAUAUAAUGGAAUUGUGCCAGCUAAAAUAAAGUAUGGUAAUAUUUCUUGGAGUAUGAUAUAUAAAAAUGAGAUUUUUUGUUGGUUAGCUCAAAAUGGUGAUAAUAAUGAGGUAAUUCUUUCAUUUAAUAUGAGUGAAGAGAUUUUUGAAAAUACACCAUUGCCAUCAAAUAUUGGAGUUUUUGGGGAGCAAGAAAUUAGAAAUAUUCGGGUUAUUUUACCAUUAAAUGAGUCAAUUUCCCUUAUUGUUUAUUGUUUGAAACAAGUGGAGAAAUAUUUUGAUAUAUGGGUGAUAAAUGAAUUGGGAGUUAAAAAUUGUUGGACUAAAUUGCAAAGAAUUGGCCCCCUUUCUAGGGUUGAGAGGCCUUUAGGGUUUUGGAAAAAUGGUGAGUUUAUUUUGGAAAAUAGCAAUGGACAAUUGGUGAUUUAUGAUCCUGUAAAUCAAGAAGUGAAGACACUUGGCUUUUAUGGGAAAAGAGACAGAUUGGAGUUGGUUGUUUAUAAGGAGAGUUUAGUUUCAGUCAAUUGAUAAUUGUAAUGCUAUGUGAAAAAUAGCAAAGACGAAUUCAAAGUCUAGAGUUAGUAAGUUUAAACUUUUUUUUUAUAUGUAUAUAUUUGAGCUAAAAGUAGUGGAUUCAGUCGAACCCUCGGAACUUGUCCUCGGUUCUCCUAUGAGAAAUAGUAUAGGCUGCAUUGCAUUUUGAAACCUUGUAGUUGACGUGAAAGUAACUUUUCUUAUAAAUGCAUGUAAAUGAAUAAAAAAAAAAAGGACACAUUAUUUUUAACUUUAUAUGUGUUUCUCUAUUGAAUUGCUAAUAUUCUUUUUACGAGCUUUUGUAUUUUGGUCCAAGAUUGAUGGAAAAGCUAAUUUGAUCAUAUAUUAUUGUAAUCAGUUGCUUUGGCAAUUAUAAAAUCUUUUUCACACAGAAAACUGAGUUGUAACGUGCUGAUUAGCCGAAAAUCGAAAUUUAUCCGGUCCCUAAAAAAUCGCUUUUUAUGAUUACAUCGGCGAUAAUUCAAAAAAGGGUGAUUUUUAAUACCGGAAUUACAAUUGACAUGCCAACAUGUAUACCUAAAUCUUCAUGAAAGAUGUCUUGGUUAUGUAUCUUAUAGGCAAAAAUAGGAAAAAGCUACAAUGUAACUGAACUUGAUUUCCCAAAUAUUUGAUGUGUAAUAAAAUUUGCUUGAACAACUAGGCAAUUCCAUUAGUAAGAUCUCUAUUAAGGGAAAACUCAGCGUGGAAACUAAAUUCAUCACCUUUGACAAUUUUAACUUGUUAAUCAUUUGCUUUUAAAUUCAAGAUUUCCACUUUCAUGGUUAUUAAACGAAUCAUAGAACUAGAACUAGUUUGGCUAUUAAUACACCUUCGGGACGUUUGGUGUCAAUAAUAUGCAACAACAACAACCCAGUAUAAUCAUACUAGUGGUCUUGGGAGGGUAGAGUGUACGCAAAUCUUACCCCUACCCGGAGCAGUAGAGAGACUAUUUCCGGAAGACCCUCGGCUCAAGAAAACGAGGGAUAAUAGAUUCAUAACAACAACAGGAACCAGAAAAAGCAACGUAAAAGACAGCAAAUAAAUGGAAGAGCAAUAACACAAUAUAAACCGCUAGUCAAUAAAAUGCAAAUGGGAGUAAAAAAUGAACGCUUUUGAAUUUGGCGAAGAGUAGUCAAACUUGGGGCAAUAAGAGUUGGCCAAUACCAAGUUAAAAAUAUUAGUCUAGAUUCUAUGAAUACCACUUAAAAUUGGCACAUCAACAUUCUAAAUAAAGAUGAAUGUAGCUAUAUAGAUCACUAAUUCACGCUACUUCAAACUGGCAAAUGGACAUACUAAAUAAAGAUGGAUAUAGCUAUAAAAGACAAGAUCUUAGAAGUACUUAACCAGUACAUUUUUCAGUUGUAUAGGUUAGUUGUCCUUGAUUUUUGAUUAGUUUGCUAAUGGGAGGAUUUCACUUUAUCACCAUCUCUGGGUCCAUAGGACCUAUGUGGUUAGGAAACAGAAACCUGAAACUCUACAUUAAGGUCUACCGGAAAAUGGACUUGUACAGGAAUGUAGAAGCAACUUUUUUAGUAGCGGAGAUGGCUCAGCGCACUGUUCAGCUUUGGAGUUACCUAUCAAGCAGCAGGCACAGUUGACAUAAAAUUUAAUUGCAGAAUUGACUUCAAGUCUACAUCGAAGCUGAAAGCGAGGGGAGAAUCCAGUCCCAACACAAAGAGCACUUCUUCAAUUCCUCGUAAGAGCAGUAGCAUAACUAGUGCUACGGUGUAAUAAUGGCUGCAUCCAGUUAGCAACUAGAAUAUCGACUCUAUUUCAACAGCUUAAUAGCCGGUCUCUAUUUCAGCAGCUUAAUACCCCCAUCCAUCGUCCCUUUGAUGUAGCAAACCUCAUUUUAGGAUUAAAUUCCCUACAACAUAAAAACUUAUCUGUUACUUUUACCUUCUUGGGGUAUCUGCCAACAUGAAAAAAAGUGUAAAGGCAAGAUUCUUACAGUUGUUUCUGUGAAGAGAGAACUCUCUCUCUUAAUGUGGAUAGAUCAGCCAAAAUCAGUUUUGUCAAGAUCCAUUUCCACGCUGCCGUUUAGGAUGAUCUCUUUUCAUGGCUCCUCCUCCAUGUAUGAACGAUCCCUGUAUGGGUAAAGAGACUUUGAGGUUCAGAGUUUUGAAAAAAUUCAAGCCAAAUGAGAUAAAAGUCUUUUGAACAUGAAAAUUUGAUGAAUCAUUCCAGUUUGUCUUACCUUUGAUAUAUGAAUGCCGCCUCUUUGAUGAGGUGUAUAGGAGCGCUGAUGCUGGCCGUGGUACAUAGGUGAACUGAGAGAAUUGUUGGGAUUCAUAUCCAUUCCAUUAUAACUCCCACGAUCAGGCUGACCAAUCUCAGUAGCACUGACCAUUGUAGUAAGCGAGUCCACAGGCUCCAGCAGCGAUGAGAUACCUGCCAUCCCAUUGUACGAGAGGAUGCAAGCCAUUGCAUAUACAGAGGCUGCAAGAAUCUCAGGAAGAACUUUUCCAGGGUGUGAAACCUGCAUAACAUUCGAUUCCAAAUUAAACCAACCAAAAAUCACAUACUCCAAUACUAUCUUGACAUGGCACCAGCGCAGGAUACCUAAUCACUUUGCUUUGUUUCACUCUCUUUUCUUCUUCUUUUGCUUGGGGCUGGAGGGGAGGGAGAGGAGAUUUUCUCUUUAAAAUAGUGCAGGAUAGAGGAAAUUACCUUGAAUAAAAUUGCUGCAGCUAAUCGCUCUCUCAGGCAGUAAAUUUGAGCAACAUCAAGAGCUGUCGCCUUGAAAGGAAUCCACCUAUCAACAAUGACCUUAACUGUAUUUUCAGGAGAAGACAUAACUUUCUCUCCUUGAUCCGCUUUAAAAUUAUCUUCCUCACCAUCGUCCUCAUCAGCAUCUUCAUAAUCACUUCCAUCAUCAUCAUUGUCGUCAUCAUCAUCAUCUUCUUCAUUUCCAGGAGCCACUACAAUCUCUGUUGCCAGCAACAAAAGUGGGAGUGGCCCAAUGACACUACAGUUCCUUAUAUGAAGACCUCCAUCACCACGUGUUAUCUCAUCAUAUACAAUUAAUGGUCGAUCAAAGAAUUUUUUGAAUGAAAGCUUAAACUUAGUAGAAUGAGGGUGCAAUCGAACUUUAUCGCCACCUGCAGUCUCUAUGACAACCCUCCUAUCACCUUUCAGAGGCGGAAGCAGUCUUCCAACCAUAGGGUACAAACCAGCAACAAGAACAGCAUGUAAUAUGCCUGGAUCCUGUGCGUUAAGGCUACAGGAAGAUCCAUCUCCUGGAAUAAACCCAUUCCGCAAGAGUUCAGAUUGCAGUUGUUUACGCAUUCCAGAUAACAUGUUCAUAGUACUUGAGGAUAUAAAGUACGUAGAACAAAACCUCGACUCUUGGCCACUUUCUUUCGCACUUUUCCAGCCCUCAAACGCAGCCACAACUGCUAAUUGAUCACUUCUUCCACCAUACCAUGAGGCUAACUCGGCUCUUGCAGCUGAAGCUCUCUUCUUCUCAGUUGGCAACAUAGGUAGGGUAAAUGGAUCUCUAUAGUCAGAAGCACAGGCCAACGUCAAUGCUGGAUCAAGGCAGUUCAAUAAUAUAGCAAUUAACAGCAUCUUGCUUGUAAGAGGAUGAACUGGUAAAGACCCUAGCCUUUCACCAAGCUCUGUAAGUUUCUCAUCAACUGAUAAUGCCCCAAUAUCUUGCAGAACAAUGAUUGCAUUACGUAUGGUCUCGUAAACCGGAGGGUCAAGUGUCUUCUUCAGAAAUUCUUCUAUCUUGCAAUCAGGGUUAAGAAGCUUGACCUGCCAAAAACAAGGUAUUCAACUGUUUUACAACAAGCUCUAUUGUUUACAAUAGUUUACAUUCACUAUCAGUAGCUUUUUUAGACAAAGCUAUGAUAAUUUUCAAAAGCCUACUGGAAUUUUUAUUUUAUUUUUAAUUUUCAUUAUUGCAAAUCUCUUCACCUUCUUUCACCCCUAGCUAAUGUUUUACAACUACCAAUAAAAAGCUAAAUAUAUUUCACUUAAUCGUCAUGCUGAGUAUUCCCAGUAUAAAAAUCAUAUUCCUAAAGGACAAGGAAGAAUAAUGAAGCACCUGAAGACAUAAUUCCUCUAUAGGAAUCCUCUUAAUCUCAGGAACCUGGAAAUCAGGCAAUGAAGCUGCUCGGAGUUUUGAAUAAAGAUGAUAACAAAUUCCUGGCUGGCAGCGCCCAGCACGACCCUCUCUUUGCUUUGCACUAGCUUUUGAGACCCAAGAAGAUUGAAGCGUUGAUACAUUAUUAUAAGGGUCAUAACUUUUUUCUUUCAUUCGUCCACUGUCUAUUACAUAAACAACAUCAUCAAUGGUAAUGGCAGUUUCAGCAAUAUUAGUUGAAAGAACAAUUUUGCGGCAGCCUGGUGGAGGGUGUCUAAAGACCUUCUUUUGCUCCACAGCUGGAACCAUAGAAUGGAGAGCGAUUACUGAAAACUUAGACGUAUCUUUGAAGUACUGGCUUGAGCGUAAUCUCUCUCGUGUUCUGUUAAUAUCCUCCCAACCAGGGAGGAAAACGAGGAUUGCUCCGUCCUCUGAGUCUAUACAUAUUUUUCUUAAUAGUUGCUCAAUAAGGACAUCAUCAAUCAGUUCAGGGUCAACUGUUGAUAGGUAUUUGUCAAGUAAAUGCUGCUGUUCCUCACAAUUGGAAGAUGAUUUCUCCAUGUGUUUUUUAAUUAGCUCAGCAGCUUCUGUCUGAUUCUCCCGUUCAGCCCAAUCUAGAGCAUUUUUUCCAUCAUUAGCACGUAAAUGGCAGUCAGCACCAAAAGAGAGGAGCAUGCAAAUGUCACCAAUACAGCCUUUUCCAGCAAACACCAUCAAUGGUGUCACUCCACUCAAAGAAUGCUGAUAAUUGAACACUUUUGGUCCCCCGUCAGAAGAUAUUAGAUCUAAAAGGGGAUCAAGAUCAUCAUCUGAAAAAGCCAAAUUAAUUGCUUCAUCUAAGGCAACUUUGUACUCCUCAGUUAAUGUUGACUCCUCGGACAUGGCAGCGGUUGAGGUGGAAUCAAGGUGAUUAUUUUCAGUUGACUUUACAAUAGAAAGUACAUCCUCAAGAUAAAACGUUUUUACCUGACAUAGGUGUAAAGGGGUAAAUACUUCAAAAACUCACAUCACAAAUCAACAAAGAGGUAAAUCUGCAUCUAGGAAUUAAGGGAAAGGUUUUACAGGAUAAGUAAAUCCUGGGACUUUGAUAACUGGGCAGCCGCCAAAGUAUUUUGAAAAGCGUUCAGCAUCAAGUGUAGCACUCAUCAGAACCUGUUUGGAGGUUCAUUCAAUUGUUAGAUCAUCAAAUGACAUGCACGUUGAAACAAGAAAAGAAAGGCACCAUCUUAUACAAUACAAAAGCAUAAUGAAAAAUUCAACAGUAUACGUUCUUACCAGACGCAAAUUUGGAUAUGACGGAAGCAAGUCCCUGCAAGUAAAGAAAGACUAACCUGAACAUUUUGCUGUUUCACGGGAACUUUAAAUUAAUAGAAAUUAGGUCUAACACCUUUUGAAUAUUUUGUCAAAUGAAAAUGACAAGCUAAUUUCAGGAAUCAGGACAGAGAUUAGCAUAAGUGAACAACAGAAAUGAGGUUAAUUGACUUGACUUGUUGACAAGCCAAAGAUUAGCACAUUAUGGUUCCAGCUCCUGUCAGAAGGAUCAUUCAAAACAGGCAAAAAACCAUGAAACAUGUAACCGAUGAAAUAGAUUAAACCAGUGCACCUGAGAAUCGCGAGCAUGAAAUCGGAGUAGCGAUCCCUUUCAUGAAUUUCGUCCUAUGAAAUUUGAAGCUCGUAAGGUAGCAGAAAACAAAGAAGAAGCACAGCUGAGAGUGCAUGUCAAAUUAGAAAGUAUUAACAUCAUCUACAAGCAGAAGUAAAAAAGGAUAACAUGAUCAAGAAAUUUUGCAAGCAACAAAACAAACAAUGAAACAGAGAUCUAUGAAAUGUUUUUAGAGGAUACCUCCGCAUUCAAAGAUUGUUAGAUUAAAGAAGUACUUUGAAUCUGGCCAAGCCCUAGAUUUUUAAGAGGGAAGAAAAUGCAAAAGCCUUCAAUAGGAAUUAUUCUGCAAAUUCAAAUUUACAAGAACUCUAGAUGGAAUUCCGAUAUACUGAUAAAAGUCUAUUUUUAUAGUGUUGCAUUAGAUAUGAAAGGGAAAAACUGCUAAGCAUAACGAUAAACACCCUACACCAACAAAAGUUCAAUAUGUUCCUUCCCAAUAGAUAGCAAUAAAUUUGACCUUGAAUGCUUAGUGCAUCCAGUAGUAAUCUGUUCUAUGUAAUAGCAAACCCCUCAAUUUCUAUUUUUUAAAAAUAUUUAGCAAACCCCUCCAUAAAUUUAAAGAGCGAGAAAGCUUAUGUAAGCACAGAACCGGAAACAAGAUUUUGCAUCAACCAACAUCUAGGAUAACCUAGAUGCCAAACUACUACUUCCAGGACAUGGCCUCUAAAUGACCAAUGAGUGAAGCCUUCUUAUAUAUCUUGAAGAAGUGAGUUAGUUUAAUGUUCAUCUCCUUCUUAAUUGCAAACAGACAGUUGAGUGAAGAGAGGUAGUGGAUGACGGAGGGACUUCUCAGAAGCAGUGGAUUAACAGCACAAGAAGAGGUCAUAGCAUAUGUAAGAGCAGUAAAUAAAGUUGAAAUGCUUCAGAGGAUAUGUAAGAACACUAAUUACGUGAGAAAUGCAAAGUACCACAAUGAUGUGGGUUAUAUCAGAAAUGUCAUUCGUGCCCAUUUUCCUGGGAGCUUUCUUGUUGAAGCUGGCACUUCCUUUGGUAACCAGGACCCUCAGUAGAACCCCAUUGGUACAAAACACAAUUGAUGAGUGCUUCCCACCUCUGCUUUCCAUCCGUAUCUGGAAUUUUCCACAACUCAGUAAUUAAAGGCAUACUUAAAUUACAUGCGUAAAAUGGAGAAGAGGUAAAGAAGAAGUCUUUCUUCGACUGGGGAUUGGGGGUGGGAUGGAAAGGAAGAACAGUGACAAUGACGGCAUUUAAAGUGCUAGAACAGGCAGAAAAAUACAGUCUUCAUCAUCCACUAAGCACCACAUAAAUCAUCUUUAGAAAGUUAAUAAGCACAUGAAGAUAAAAUAAUCUGUUGAUUAAAGAAUUUUUGUGACUGGUGAGGAAGCUAAAAGCUUAGAUCUCUCCUCUGUUGCGCACCUCCAAUUAAUGCUUACAACCUCCUCUUGAAAACCAUGCAAUAAUCCACCUUACCUCGACAAAUACAGCUUUAUCUUAACCUCUGCUUUAGAAAGGAAAGAAUUUCAGAAAGUGAACUUCACCUUCACAGAAUCCUCUUUUAGAAAGUCGAAAACCUCAGCCAGGAUUUGAAAUGGAUUGGGUUGGAUAUCCAUUUACGACACGGGUGGAAUUAGCAGUUUUCUCUACUUGAUACUGUUAAAUCAUAAUUUAUAUGAUUUAAACCUUAUCUUAAAAAUAAUUAUUCCAUAUGAUUCAUGGGUGGGAUUAGCAGUUUUCUCCACUUGAUACUGCUAAUCAUCAUAAUUUAUUCCAUAUGAUUCAAACCUUACCUAAUCAAAGAAAAAUAUUCCAUAUUAUUCACUUUAAUGUUUCAUCCUUUUUGUCACUUUAUCAUCUGACUCUGGUAGAAAUUCAUGAUGUGGAUAUCAAGUUUGAAAGUCUAAACAUCUUCUCAGUUGUUGUUUUCGACUUGAAAUUGAGCGGAGAAGUCUUGAAAUCUUUUUUAAAGUAAAAGAAACAACAACCCAGUAAAAUCAGUUGGGUCUGGGGAGGGUAGUGUGUACACAGACCUUACCCCUACCCCGAAGGAGUAGAGAGGUUGUUUCCGAAAAGACCCUCGGCUUAAAGUAAAAGAAAGGAAUAAGAUUUUUUUUAUAUUGGGCCAAAACGCUUGGUCCCAAUACCAAAAGAACAAAAACAAAAUUUGGCAUGGGAAGGAGUAUGAUGUCAUUAACAAAAGACGGUUCCCAAACCCCAGUUUACUAAUAUUUUGGUCAAAGGAAAAAGUGAUACAGCAAAAUUGAAAAAGAAAUAACCACAUUAGGAACAGUGUAGUACCUUGUAACCAACAGUGUCGCCAACACUUUCGCCUCUUUCAGCAGAGAUUCUCUCAGAAACUGCACAUUGAAGAAGCAAUACUCAGAACAAUUAUGAAUUGACCACCACAUUCCACAUAGAACACGAGAGAAAUGGAUCCUUCAAAGUGGACAUAAGGUGCCAACCUGAUGUGGCAGAAAUUCGUCGGGGCUGAGUACAUACAAUUUUACAUGUCUCACCUUUACCCCACAUAUGAUCCAAAAUAAAUUGGGGGACCUGAAUCAUAGGAACAAAAAAGUUACAUCUAGUAAGCACUACAUAUUUGUUUGAGAAAAAGAUAGUAGACUAACUAAAGCCUUGAAGUUAUAACCUGUGUAGUUUUUCCGCAUCCAGUUUCACCAGAGAUCAAGACCACCUACACAUGGAAUAAACAUAUAAUAUAGUCUGUCCAAGAUGAGAACGAUCAAACAUCCAAACCCCAUAUCAGGCAUUAAACCAGAAUGAUACAAGCAGUGCCAAUAUUUUGAGGGUAAGAAGUGCACAGUCCUGAUGAAAGAAAACAAGCCUUUAUCUGAUCUCAAAGACUUUUCUUAGGCUGAACAUAGUGACGGGCGCAUUUAUUGAUUGAGAUUGGAGAAGAAAAAGUACAAAGGCAUAGUCAGGUCAUGCAGUUUAAUGCUAUAUAAUGGUCACCUGAUUAGAUUCAACUGUUGAUGUAAUGACAUCCUUGAAGGAAGCAAUUGGAAGCUUAGACUUCUGUACUGUAAUCUGCAAGUAAAUAACCAGAACAAGCCAUUACUAAUUCUUUUCUUGUUCUCUUCGCUUUUGAAAGCAUCUUACAAAGGUAAGGUGCUUUAACAAACCUCAAUCAAGAUGGUAUAUAACAUUAGUCAAUUCUAAAAUAGAAAACUUAACAAACCUGUCUCAGGUUUGGGGUAUUUUCUAUUCUUGAAGAAAGUGACUCCACCCUUUUUGCAAUUUCAGACUUGUUCAUUGCAGGUUUACAGAACACAUCAUCCUUAUUUCCUCGAUAUUUAUCAACUUUCUUACUGUGUUUCCCAACUGCUAGUUCACUUGUCUCCCCAUUAUCGGGUGGAUAUCUUGUAAAUAAAUCCUGUAGAACAUCUUUUGCUUCUCCAAAAAAUUUAAAACAACUUAGUGCAUCCUUUCCUUCCAGUGUCUCCACUGUAUUUUUAGUCUUGAAAAUAGAUAUACGACGUUGAUCCCCACGCCUACAUAAGACAGGUCCAUCAUCUUAAGCCAUAAAAGGAAAAAAAUAUACCGUCUAUUUAACAUGACAAUUAAAUGCAAAGGAAAAAAUGCAAGUAACAUGUUUAUAAUGCUGAAACUCACUACACCUACCCAGAACUUUUGGAUUUCAUACCCAUUUUCCGGCAUAAAAUAUGAACUGCAGCUCUGUCGCGAUUUGAAAGGUUUGAUUCAAAUGUAUACACUGCGUCAACAAAUAGAUAUCUUAAUAUUUACAUACAAAUCACAAUUACGUCAUUCGUAUAUUUUUUUUUGUUGUGUGUGUGUGUGUUUGGGGGGGAGAGGGAUAUAAAGUCACAAUUACCCCAUUUACAUGUCAUGAACAAUUAUAGAAGAAAUGGAGCAUUAAAGAUGUUUUAUCUAUGUAACAAGAGAACAGUUAAAUUAUUUCCAGACUAUGCGGAUUACCCUGCUUUCGAUUUUCACCGAAAGAGGUCAAUACCUUGAGGUGAGCGCAAACCACCAAUUCUAGUAGACAUAUGUUAUAGUAACAGGUUCAUCACUUAAAAGAACAUAUUUCGUUCACAAUCUUCCCACAAGCCUCAUUUCAUCCGUAUCAAAGAAAAUACGAGAAUAAACAUAUAUGAGCAGAUACAAUCGUUUUGGAAAAGAGCUUGUCAUAUCUCAGAUUCUCAAUGCAAAACCAAGCAAGAAUGCAUCAAUUGCACACAAACCUUCACAUAAUCAUGUACUUUACAAGUCACUUAAUAUGAUGAAAUCUGAACAUACAAUUUGUAUUCGUGUAAUACCUAUGUUAAGCAGAUCUAAUUUAAUGGUUGAAUGAUGCAUGAAGAAAGUCAUUACCCUCUCGAUCAUGAAAAGACACCUUAUUUAUAUGUGUAUCUUCUAAGAUGAAUAUAAGGUUCCGGGUGCUAGUAACUUAUCAACUUGGAAAUGAUAUACAUCCAUGUAAUAAAACCAGUACUUUUCUUCUCUCUUCUUUUGGCAAACCAGCUCAUGCAGCAUUUUCAUUGUUUAAAGUUUUAAGCAGCAGCAUUUCACAUGUAGAUGCUAAAAAAACUAAACAGUUACGUAAAAGGGCACUAGCAACGUAAAAUGAAUGUAAAUCAUAAAUAAUGUAAUAGUUGUCGAAUUAGAACAAGGAAAAGCAUGAACACUUCGGUAAUUGGAAUAUGCAACUAAAACCACGCUUACUACCUGAUCCUGUACAGCCCCUAUUCCCCCAAUUCAGUUUCUAUUUGUGUCUCAGCUGUAUAGAGCUAUCCACCCAUUAAGCUGUUUUUAGAUAGAAAAAAACCUAAUUUGUCUAACAAAUUAUUGAGCAUCCGAAUGAAACACGUCUUAAUGGAGUGAUAUCGACGUUGAGGAUUCAUAUAGGCAACCUCACUUAGUUUUCCCAAAAGAUUUUACAAUCUUUAAACAUCAAACACAGUUUUUGCAAAACAAUUUACAGUCUUUAAAGCAUCAAAUACAGUUUUUCGCAAAACAUUUUACAAUCUUUAAGCAUCAAACAUUCCAUUUAUUAAAUAUCAGCUCCCAAAGCACCGUCCUCAGCAACAAAUAUAUGAGACCUUAACAUACAACCAAUAAAGUAUUAAUCUUUUUUUUUCUUUUUUCUUUGACAAGUUGUAAUAAAGUUAAAAAAAAUUAUCAAACGAAAGAAAACAAAAAGGAAAUUCAAGUUAAUUGAGUUUAUUACUCUUUCCAAAUUGACGUCAUAUUAUUUAGUAUAACUGCAAAAACAGUGACUAUUACAUAAAUAAAUAGAUAAAUAGUGAUGUAUCAAAUUCAAUUAAAAUACCUUCAUCAUUAGAAGCACGGAACUGUUCAAGAACUUGGGCGACCCGAAUCCGAGUGGAUUCUGCAACAUUUGUAACCUCUUGUUGUCUUUUCCCUUUCUUUUGCCUCGUUUUACCAAACCCAGAUGAUGAUGGUGAAGCUCCUGUAGCUGUUGACGCCAUUUUCUGUUCUAUUUUAACCUCAAAAUCUGAUUCUCUUUGUUUUUUCAGGGGAUAUUCUGCAAUGUACGUUUUGUUCUGUUUUCUUGUACGAUUUAUCUUCCUCUUCGCGGCGCUGCUUAAGUUCCUCUUUGCUCUCUGUCUAGGCUUCUCAUAAAUGGUUCUCUUUUUCCCUUUUCUUUUUUUUGGGUUUUAAUUUGGGACAACAAACAAUUUACAAGAAACAUUAAAAUGUAUUAACAAUCAUUAAAAGAUGAAAACUCAAAAAAAAAGAAACAAAAUGAUCUAGAGACAAAAGGAGGGUUAAGUAAUGUAAUAAUAUAUAGAAAAAAAAUAAUAUACAUAGUAGUAGCAUAUAACUUAAUUUUUUCCAUUUUUUUAAUUGUCGCAUGCCCUUGUAACUAUUUAUUGGAAAACAAUAAGUAGCUUAAUUUAUUUAUCGAGAACUAUAUAUAUUUGUUUAAGGAACCUCUCGCCUUUGCCUAAUUUAAUUGUUGAAAAAAUAUAUAUUUGUGUGCGGAGGAGACGGCCGGAUGAAGUCGAUAACAGUUUAGUUUUAUCCAAAAAUACUGAAUUCAAUUAAACUCACUAAAUUUGUUGUCAAGCCAUCUUCACAUACCUUUUAUUAGUGAUUUGACUGUCUUCUUUCUUCGAUUGUAAGGUGGUGUUUUUAUCCACAAAUAAUUUUUUAUGUCCAGAAAAUGACAUGUUACAAUACACUAAUCGGUAUGAAUUGAUACAUUAAUUUUUAACAUCUUAAAUAUGAAGUUAGAAGCUAAACAUUAAAUUAUAUAAUUACAUUGUGUACAGUUAAAAAUAUUUAGAAAAUAAGAAAUAUAACUACUUAACUUUACAAAUCAGCAACGUCAAUGUAUACAAUAGCACAGAAGUUUAACUAUUAUGUGCAUGUGAUGUUGUAACCGCAAGUCCGUACUUGAAUAGAAGUUGGGAUAUAGGACUUGGACUUGGAAGGCCGGGAAAAAAUAUAGAAGUACACAAGUGAUGGAAGUUGGAAAGAAUAUUUUGCCCAAAAAUAAAAAAUGUAUAUUUUUAGGCGCUUGAAAAAAUAAUAGUUAAUAAAAUAUUUAUAUCUAUAUGUGUGUAUUAUAAACAUAUAUAUAUGAAAUUUUUUCAUAAAACAUUAUAAUUUAGAGCCUAAUUACUAUGUGUAAGUAUAGUUUGUCUAAUCAACUAGGCGCAACGAAUACAAGCGAAAUGCAGAAAUAUAGAAUGAUCUUAUUGAGAGUCGAACUCAAGACCUUCGCUUACUAAGCAGAGCUGACCAACUAAACUACGAAAACUUGUUACUCUCUUAUUUCAGUUCAAAGCAAUUGAUCUCUUGUUUCAGUACUACAGAUAAAUUUGGUAUAAUUUCAAAUAUCAGUAUGAAUGGUCCGGCUAUUAUUUGUGUAAAGAUCCCGCGUGUAAUCGAUAGCGCUUCUGCUUCUCCCUUACAGUGGGCCUGUGAAAUUAAUUGGGCUUUAAAGCCCAUGAUCGAUGCAAGUCUGUAGCAUGGUGUUGGGACAAAAUGUUCAUGGGUUAGAAGUUUCUUUUUAAGAAUUAACCUAAAUAAUUAUUCACACAACCGCAUAAAUUAAAAAUAGAUGAUGUGUAAUAUAUAUUAAUCUAUAUCUAUAUUUAUAUCUAUCUAUCUAUAUUAUUAUAAAAGCAUGAAUACAAUAUCGGUUUACAACAAUAACCUUAUAAUAUUAAGUAUAAUAACUCAUAAUAAAAGGAUAUAACCGGAAUUCCAGAUAUUAGCCUUAUAAUCCUAUUAGUUUUAGGACAUAAUACUACACGUUAAGAAUCCUAUUAGUAUAAUUACUUUCCGGCUGUAACUGUCCUCCUCAAUUUUGCUCGAGUAAAUAUCAUCCCAUAGUUGAUUCAUAAUGUCUUUAAAAAACUAUCACGGUGAGAUGACACAUACUAUUAAGUUACGUAACAGAUUGCUGAAGAACUUUCACCCAAUAUGUAAAAUAAGUACUCCGAUAUAUUUGAGAAAAAAUAAAUAUCUUUAGUCAUGUAAUUCUAUUACUUUUAGGAUAUACUUUUUAAAAAUUCUUAUUACUAAUUUAAUUUGAAAAUGUAUUAUAAUGUCAUAUUACUAAUUUAAUUUGAGAAUGUAUGUUAUUGUCCAAAUUCAUCUAGAAAAAAAGGGAGCUUAUAUUAUUAUAAAAGCAUAAAUAUAAUUUUAAUAUAUCAAAAUAGUCCUAAAAUAUUAAACGGAAGAAUUCAUAGGGAAAGAACAUAACUGCAGUAAAUUUUUUUGAAUUACAAUACCUUCUAUACUAAUUUUUAAUAUUUAAGAUUUUAAAAUUAAUAAAAUUUUAUCUAUUAAAUUCUUAUAAAANNNNNNNNNNNNNNNNNNNNNNNNNAAUUAAUUUCAUAAAAUCCUCCGUAUUGGCAGUACAUUACCACUCUAUAAUGUCCAAUACCAAGAAAAAAUAAAAGUAGUAUUAAAUGAAUCGCAUAAAAAGUUGAAAUUAAAAAAAAAUACCUCCAUGAAAAUAUAUUUUAUAUUAUAUUUAAACUAUUUUUCUACUCAAAUAAUAUUUUUGUCAAUUUUUUGUGUAAUAUUAAACAACAACUAAGAAAAUAUUUAAGAAUAUAAAUGUCUGAGAAAGAGAAAAAAUGGUAGGUAAGAGUCAAUAUCACUAAUAAUUCUACAGACAUAAAGAUCUAAAAGUGAAAUGUUAUAUCAAUCUUGUACUAGUUGAAAAUAAAAUUUAUAGUGGAUAGAAUUAUAAUUAAGAUUAAAUAUUUAAAACAAGAGAUGAACUAAUAUUAAGAUUUGAAUCAACAUAGAAUAAAUUAUUUUUUAUGUAUUAAAUAAUUAAAUCUUUUAAUUAAUUAUUUAGCAAGAGAAUCCAAUUCAAUUAUUUUUUACAUUCAUCAUAUGAGUAAAAUUUUUAUUCAAGUUUAAAAAAAAGUUUUAGGGUACAUAAAUUUAUUCCAUAAAAAGAGUGUUAGAACACAAAGUAAAAAGGUUAGUAUAUUAUUAAGAAUCAAAAUGCUUACAAGUGUCCAAGGAAGCACAAUCAAAGCUAAAUAUUAAACAAGAACAAGCUUUCAACACUAUAUUAUACAGAGUCGACUAUGCUAUAAUGAGAUUAUUCAUUGUAGAUGCCUCCGGCGGAAUCGAAAUAAUAUUUUUAUGUCAUGCAUUGCUUACAAAUAUCAUAUCAAGAGGAAUGACACUGUUAGCAAUAAUAGCAAAUGGUGUACCAAUAACAAUUUUAUUGUGAGGCCACCCACUUUAGAUUUGAUAUACAUCUUUAAAUAACUUAAAUAACCAUCACAAAUAUAUCAAAGCAGAGCAAUGGCGCUAAAUUUAUAAGGAAAUAAUAUGAUAUGAAGCACUUAUGGCUAAGUGUCAAAUAAUCGAAAUAAUUACCCGGAGUUCUAGAGAUAUAUUGAAUAUUAAUGAACUGUUUGGUGGGAAAUUAAUGGUUUGGGAGGUAAUUUGUGUCACGUGCUACCAGUAGUUCCAAAAUCGACAAAAGUUGAGACUAUAAAAGCUAGCUUGCCAAAGUUAUACUCCCGACCUCAAAUAAAAAAAGAUUCAACUAACAAGAAAUAUAAAGUAAGAACAGAUCUAGUAUACAAUAUUUUCUUGCUUCGCGUCGGAAACGAAGAAGAACAUCCAAUAAAAGAUGAUUUGGUUCUUCUUCAACACUUGAUUAUCAAUCCCAAUGGUAAUAGUAGUGCAUUUAGUUAGGGAACAUUUCUAUCUUUAGAUAAAACGCAAUUUGUGCAAAUCGCAUGAUAGAAUUAAAAAAAUAUCUUAGCUAGCAUAAAUGAAUAUGUUAAUCAACUUAUAAAAUAUUGAUUGCAAACUUUUAUAGUCAAACAAAAUAUUUUUCUGUUUUUGACUCAGAAAAAAAUGAUACCAAUAAUUAUUACCAAGAAGAACGCUUAAAUACUUUAAUACCAAAUGGCCUUCUACCAUAUAUGUUUGUUGUCAAGUAUAUUAUUUCUUACGCAUGUUAGUGUCACCGAAUAUAUAAUAGACUAAGUUAAAAGUGAUAUUCCAUUAUAUAUAGGUUGAUUUUGAAGAAAAAUAUGCAUGUCAUGUUACUAAAAAACUUAGAUACGCCGAAUAGGUUAUGUAAUAGCACACAAUGGUAUAUAGAAGUUUUGACCAUAACACCAUACAUGCAAAAAUUAUGAUACUGAUCAAUGUGCUUCUAAGUAUAUUCUUAUCCCUGAAUUAAACUUUUGUCUUCCAUAACUAAGGAAUAUCUUUUCAAAUUUGUGUGAAAAUAGUUUUUAGUAUUUUUAUAUGUUGCAAAUAUAAUAAAUAAAGCACAAGGACAAACAUCCUAAAUAUUGGACCAUAUUUAUCGCAAUAUAUUUUCUUGCGCGAACAACUGUAUGUUGCACUUUCAAGAGGGAUAUUAAGAUCGACAACAAGAGUUCUGGUUAAGGCAGAACAACCAAAGCAUUAGGAGAAAACAUACACAAAAAAAUAUUGUCCACAAAGAAGUGUUUGUUAAGAUAUAAUCACAUUAAAUACUUUUAAACUAUAAUACAUAAUUAUCUAAUGAACAUGACAAAAUUGAUCAUUUGUGUAAGUUUUGAUAGUGUCUUUUAAUUUUAAAUUCAUGUAUUAUGCUAAUGUAGUAAUAUUUUUCAACAAUAGAGGAUUGUUGUAUUAUUAUACAUAAGUUUUCUCCCACUAAUUAAAUUUUAUUGUUCCUUCAUAUAAAUAAAUACUUAAAUCAUCAUGUAUCAUUAUUAACAUGCAAUGCACGUUCAUAGAUACUAGUUCAUAUAAAAUAUAUGUAUAAUCAGUAUGCGAUUUAUGUAUAUUAAUUAAAGAAAUAAACAGUAAAUUCAACUGGCUAAUUGUGUAAAGAUCUCAAAAGCACCUAACUUUUUGGAAUAAGAGUAGGUCGUGACUAGCGAUGGAGGGAAAAGCAGUUGGAAAAUUACCAGUUAUGUCCAUUUAUAAGUGGCUCAUUACAAAAAUUGGCUAAUUGAUAAAAUAUUACUAAUAUUAGCCAAAAUAGCCAAUUAGCUAUUGUAGUAAAAAAAUAUCAAAUUUUUGCUUUGUUUUGAGUGGGUGUUAUUAGAAUAGAUUGGCCACAACUUAAGGAGCUUGAAUCUCAGUUUUUGGGAUGAUUUGGUGAAGUUUUAAGGUGGUUUGAAUUGAAAAUUCGAAGUAAAAGCUGAACAUGAAAAAAAUGAUGUGUAUCAUACUGUGUAUCAUUUGUGUAUCACAUAUGUAUCAUAUUUGUAUCAAUUGUGUAUCACAUGUAUAUCCAUGUAUACUUGUGUGUGAGAUACAUGCGUGAUACAUGUUUGAUACAUGUGUCGCAGAAGACUUUUUUGAACUCGAUUUAAUUACGAAUUUUGAUACAAAACCAGUCCAAAUCACCUCCAAUCUUCCUCAAAUUUUGUGUAUUGACUUAUCUAUAUAUUUUUAAUGAAUUUCAACUAUACCCAUUGAAAAAAUUCCUUUUUGUUUAGAUUUUUGUAUUUCAUCACCUUAUUUGCUACCCUGUCCAUGAAAUUUCCUUUCCGUUUUGUAUGUAAUGUUACUAAUCACGCUUAAAAAUAUGAAAAGUGAUUUUUGCAUGUGAUUCUUUGAUAGAAAGAACCCUAUUAUUUGGUUUCUCAAUUUUUGUUGGCUAGUUUUGGUAAGUCUAUGACUAAUGGCUAGAGGUUGGUAAGUUGAGAUUUAUUUGGGACAUUUGUGUAAGUUUCCCUAAACAGUUUAUACUCAAAUGUUUUUAAUUACAACUCACAUUAUUUACAUCCUAAGAGAAGAAACACUACAUCAUUUUUUCCCUUUAUUUAAUUACUUGGAAAAUAUUAUAGAAAAAAUUACAAGAAAAUAUAUAUGACUUCACACCAUAACAAAAAAUGGCCCAUGUUUUUAAGUUUUACCCUACCUAGUCCAUAUUGUACAUAUUUUGAAAGCACUGGCAAAUUCAAAAUCUGUGUUCUUACAAUCAUUGCUUCUAAAAGAUAUGGAGUUAAAUAUGUAUUCUCACAACCAUUACUUUCACUCUCUCUUCUUCUCACAUCUUCUACAUAUGCUUCAAGGGCUCGAGUAUUUUCUGCUUCUCCCCCUCUAUCACCUGGUUGCAACGUAAGAAAAUGAAAAAGUAGAAGUCCACCAUUGAAGGCCAUUCAAAGCUUUGCUUUCGAAAAUAUGAUUUUUUGAGUUUGUUAGUUGUUUGAAUUGGGUUUUGUUAUAAUUGAUUGCAAAUAUCAAAAGGAGUUCAAGAUUUAAAUUUGAAGUGAUUUGGAGUAUAUUUGAGCAAGAUUUGAGUUAAAUUUCAAAAAAGACGCAAGGAAGAAGACGAAGUCGGUUUUUUGUAUAAUCUUGUAUAAUAGUGUAUAUGAGUGUAUAAACACAUCUUAUACACUAUUAUACGCUUUUAUACACCUUUAUACAAACGUUUGUAGACUAACUUCUUUCACGAUUUUCAGUUGCAAUUCUUGUUCAAAACCAUUCCAAAUCUCCAUUAAAUGACUUCAAAUUUUAUAUACAACCUCCUUAUACUAUUUCUAACAAGUUUAAAUAAUACCCACUCCAAAAUUCUCACGAAAUCAAAUUUGGAAUUUAAACCCCACAUAUUUAAGCUUGUUAAAAAUCUAAUUUUUACUACCUAAAUAAAUUUGGUUUGUUGAACUAAUAUUUGAGUCACAGUUAAUGAUUCGAAAGUUAACUUAAAAGCUUGAGCAAUCUUUUUUAAAAAUUAAAUAAUAAUUUCGAGAAUAUAUUGGAGUUGAAUAUUAAGUAAUAGCCUAUUAUUUUGGGCUAGUUAAUUGUAAACUAAAAUAUGGGCUAUAAAAUUAAAAAGUAGGGAGGCCAAUUGAUGUCACGUGAAAUUUUCCCAAUAUUAUAGGCUAUAUCAGUAAACUUGGAGGUUGGAGCUGGUAAGCUGUCCCUUUUGGAUCUACUUUCAAUCGACAAAUUAUAAAUAUAAAGGUAUUGUUAUAUGUCAUUAGUGGUAAAACAAUAAAUAAGAUGAUAAGAAGUAACAUCUCAUAUUUAAAUCAUAUUUAUUAGUUUGGUUGUCUAUGGACCUGAUGAACCAAUUUUGGAACUUUGCAGUUUUCCUACCUAUAUAUUCAACUUAUUAUGUUUCCGAAAAAAAAAAAUCUGUAUGUGACCAAAUGAAAAAAGAAAAAGAAAACAGAACUAUUUAAAAGGUUCAAGUGAAGAAGGAUUAUGAGAAUUUUUUCAAUUAAAGUGAUAUUAUUCGAAAUGGGAUUAUUUAAUUUAUCAGAGUCGCCACUUGGAAUAGUUUAUUUGGUGUCCCAAGUCACCGGCUUAUUUUAAAAUCUCAAAUCGAGGAAAUUUUGAUUUUUAUUUAAAGGUCUGCGAACCAGAAAUUCUAGAUAAGGAAUUCUGUUAACCUGAGAGAAGGUGUUAGGCAUUCCCGGAUUUCGUAGUUCUAGCAUGAUCGCUUAGUGAUUAUUAUUUGGCUUAAGUUGUUUAACUACUCAUUUUUAAAACUUAUGUGCAUUUAACUCUGUACCGCUUUUAAUCACUUGAUUUAUUCAAAAUUAAAGAAUUGAGUUACGCGUACGUAUACUCUUUUCUUUUGACGCGUCAAAAAUUAUGUCACGCGAACGUGUCCACAAUUAAUAACGCUUCGUUUAUUUUAUUGGGAAAAGUUUGGUUGAAGUUGCGCGAACGCAUCCCUCGAGUUACUUUAAAUUAAAUUCGCAAUUAUGUUACGCGAACGUAUACAUAAUCGCAAUACUAAUCUAAAUCGAGCCUAAAGCAAACUACGAUUAUUUAAGGUUAUUUUAAUACUAGGUUAUGUAUUUCCUAUAUUUCUUAUAUUGUUGUUAUUUCGUUAUUUUAUGUUAUGUAUUUUAUGUUAUUUACUAUGAGUCUAUUGAUAGUACUAAUAUAUUGUCUUUUGUUGCUCUCUUGAGCCGAGAGUCUCCUGGAAACAGCCUCUCUGCCCCUCGGGGUAGGGGUAAGGUCUGCGUACAUAUUACCCUCCCCAGACCCCACUUGUGGGAUUAUACUGGGAUGUUGUUGUUGUUGUUGUUGUUGUAAUACUGGUUAAUAUUUAUAUGAGGGCCAUAGGUUAUUUAAUGAAAAAUGGCACGCCUCAAACUAUUUUAACUAAAGGGGGUUUGCAUUUUUAUUUAAUUAAGACUAAAGAUACUAAUUUUGAAGUUCAAGCUAAGAAAUCUUUUAACCAAAAAUGGGAAGGCUGGGCUUAGAAUUAUCAUUGAACAAUUGAAUUGGGUUAGGACAUUCAACAUUGGAUUAAAUCCAGAAAUACUCAGCUUUGAAAAGCUGGAUUUGGGCUCCAAAUUUGGGCCCAUCAGAACGGGUAUUCCAGGACUGAAUUUAACUAGUGCUUGCCCACAUUAGGCUUCAGGCGGGCCCAAUUGUGAAUUUAUACCGGCUGGGUCUAUCCACCUUUGCGUUCUUAGCCAUAGCAUACACAUAAAUCAGGAGCUGCAAGUGUACUCACUUUUAAAUAGAAAAAAAUUAGAUUCAAAACCCAACUCAAAUUUGAAUAUUAAUUAUACUACAUAUGAUUUGCAAGAUAAAAGAAACAUUACAUUUAUGCCAUGAACUAUAAGGAAAAGGGAAAGCUUGGAUUUGGCUUAAAUAGUAAUUAAGGAAGAAUUAGAACAUGAGCUCAAGGUCGUUUGGGCCUGAAGUUGAGCCCGAAGACAAGGAAUAAGUUCAAAUGAAGGCAGCCCACCCUGAGUUUCACCAGGCUGCCUUGCCUGGACUUAGCCAAGCCCAAACCAAAAAUUUUAAUUCUCUUCUUACAGCAUAUAAAAAAUCAACAGAAAAUAUCUAAUUUAAAUCAAUGCUAUUAACAGGAACUAAACCUCAAAUUUUACCAUAUACUAACCCAUGCCAUGAUGAAAUCAGUCUAAUAAAUAUAUACUUGUAACAGCUGGUUAGAUGCAUUAAUUGCAAUCCAGCGUACAAAAUAUUAAACAAAAUAUAGGCUGGAAUUUACAAAUACAGCCUGUUUAACCAAGUUCUUUACAGUCCACUUAUUACAAAAAUCUGAAUACAAUGGCAAUUUUACAGCAGUAAACAGACUUUUGCAUUGCUAUUAAACCAAAAAUACUGCUUUCUUAAAAAUAUUCUAAGUAACAGUCCAAUCUACAGCUGCUUUACUAACUAUAUUUAGGCUAAAACUAUUACAAACUUGCAUAACUUAUAGAGAAUCUUUUGGACAUGGCUUGUCUAUUAGAGCUUGGUCUUCCUUUGUUAAAAGAACAGUGUGAGUCCCACUUUAAGGCUUCUGAACCUGCUGAUUUAACCAACCAGCGGCUAAAUUAGCAGGCUAUAGCUCAUGGACAAACAAUCAAAGAAAGAGAAAACAAUGGUUUUAAGUAAAAGAAACCAGAUGAAAGAAGGAAGGAAAGCAUAACUCAAAUAAAUCAUAGACAACAUCAAACCUAAAUGUUUUGCUAUGAAGCAAAGCUAUUUGUGCAGUUUUAAGAACAUUUUCAUACUACCGAAGUGCAUACAAAACACAAAAAAAUUGAUAAAGAAAGUGAACACACAUUUAUUUCUACCAUUGAAUCAGACAACAUAGACAUGAAGUAUAGAUCUAGACUGAGGAUUUCAUUUGAUAUAAAGAUUGGUUACAUACCUUGAAAUAGAAACAGCAAAGAUGACCAAAUAAAGGUUAAGGAAAAAAAAUCAAGAAGUUUCAGCAACCAAACACAACAACAAACCCAAUAUAAUGACACUCAGAAUGCUAGCAAAUGAACCAGUUUUUAACCAGCAGUCCACAACCAAAGAUAUCAGAACUUAAAAGAAACACUGAAUUAGAUUUUUGCCAUAAUAGGAGGAAUUUUCAGAGGUUUUAGUUCGAAAGUCAAUAGUAAGGAACAAAAGAAUCCUUGAAUCCUCAAAGUGCUUUUUUCCUUUACUUUUGGUAAUUUUGAGAAAGUUUUCCGAGGUGUUUUCAGGACCUUUUUUGUGCAGAAAAAUGAUGAUGAUUGUUUGACUAUGAUUCUCUAAAAUCAGAAUGAGAGAGCCUACAUAUAUAGGCUGCCUAGGGAGGGUAUCUUUUUGGACAUAUUCCUUAUCCUAGGGUAAAAAUAGUAUUGUCCUUUUAUAACCCUUGGUACAGCUGUCCUAUAUUUCAACAUCUUUUGUAACAGUUAGGACAACUGUACAUUUUCUAGAAACUUCUGAUUUUUUAGCCUAAGUGGAAAUCCAUUUUUACCCUUUGAAUUACCACCUAUUUCAGUUCUAUCCUAAACUUUUAGGUUCAGUUAAGUCCCUAAAGUUUCAAUUGAUAUACAAAUCAAGGCAAACAAGGACAAACCUAGAAAGGAUAAGCUGUUCGAAUCAAAAAAUGCCCAAGAGAAACAAAUGGCUACAAUGUAAAACCUUUAACAAAUUAAUAUGCCUAAACAGUAAUCCAAACAAAGUAAAGAUGCAAUUUGCAAAGGAGACCUAGAAUUACCCUAAAUUAGUUUGUAAACUUAAACAAAUAAAAGAACAAAUAGCCUAAGAACUUGUUAAUUCAACUAAGAUGAAACUGGCUAUGAAAUCGUGGGAAAAAGAACAGGGUAGAUAUUAACAAUGAAAACUAGUUAAGCUAAACUCGUGCACUUAGAAGCAUGCUUUAAUUUAAUCUAAUAAACAACAACAAAUACCAAACAGAACUAAAGAGCCGCAACAAAAAAGAGAGAAAUCCUAAAACUACCAAACUAAAAUCAUGCAACCAUAACUAAAAUAUGCAGAAAAAGAUGGAACAAACAGAAAAGAGAGAAGAAAUUACCUAAGCUUAUUUCCCAACUUAGGCAGUCAAAGGCAUGUCUAAACUUCGAAAGGGGGAUAUGAAUUUGUUUCAUCCAUUAAUCGACUGUUCUUUGUCAAGAAAAGUUGGUUAAUGGACGUUUUAAGUUCAUAGGUCUCAAACACUGACCAUAAUCGAGAAGAGGAAAUUAGGGUUUCAAAGGUCUCAGAUUCAAAAUUCGAAAAUUUUUGGGCUUGUUUGAAGGGAAUGGUUAUGAGAUAUGGGAAGAGGAAGAGAAGGUGAUUGUCUGGGGUUAAUUUGGUGUGGUUUGGAGUAGUUAGGGUUUUGGCCUUGAUUUCGAUUCAAGAUUCGAGAACUUUGAUGAUGAUUCGAAAGAAAUUGAUUGGGGAUUUGGAAUGAGGAGGUUACGGGGGUCCUGUGGUGUUGAUUUGGGGAAAAUUGGAACACCGGAACUAGGGCUGGGCAUAUAUCGGGUAAAACCAAUAACUCGAACAGUUAAUUGUUUAUUGGGUUAUCGGUAUCGGGUUAUUGGAUUAACGGUUCGGUAAUGGUUUAAAAAAAUUUAACUAUUGGAUUAUCGGUUCGGGCCUCAGUUUGCUAAUUUUUUAAUGGGUUAACCAAUAACCCAAUAAGAAUUAAUAAAAUUACGACUUUACCCUUAAUUAUAUACAUACACUACGGCUUCAGUUCAUUUUCUCCUAUUCUUUAUCAGCCGAACUCUUCAGUUGCUUCAUCUUCAUUCUUCAUAGACCUUACUAGUUACUCCUAGCGUAAGUCUUUAGUCUUAUACGUUAGACUUUUAAUUUCUAUAACAAAAUUCAUCUUUAUAUUGGUAUUUUUGACUGUUAAUGAUUUUUUAUUUUUUUUUAUUUUUAUUUCUUAAUUUUGUGAGCUCACGUUGUGCAGCUUAUACCUACUACCAGUUUCUCUUCGCACUUAUCAAUUCUUAAUCGACAAUCUUUGUGAGUUUCGAGUGUAUUUUUUAAUAUUAUUCUUCUGUACAGUACGCUGAGCUUUGACAACAGGAUAAUAUUGUCUUGCCUUCUAGGUAUUUUUUAUUUCUGUGUUAGUAUUACCCAUGCACAAAUCAAUGUUUUGCUCUAUGGUUUUUUUUUCAGGUUAGACAUUUGACAAACAACAUCCAGUUUAUUUAGUGAAGCCUAUAAGGAUUGAGUAGUUGUUGUCUUGUUAACUUGAAUUUGAAUUGUUAGUAAUAUAUGUUUGGACUUGUUAAUUUUAAGGUGAAAUUGUUACUACUUUGUAUUAUUAUUAUUAAUGUAUUUGGACAACUGUUGUUGAAGAAUUAGUACUAUUCCAUUUGUGGCCACUGGACAUGACACAUAAAUGUGCAGUAUACUAUAUGUGAAUUCUUCUCUUUUUUGCUUAACUCCGGUAAAUUGUCUUCUCUUUUUUGGUUAAAUUUAGAUUGAGUUAUCUUAUCGGGUAAACCGAUAAUCGAACUGAUAAUGAUCGAUAAUCGAUUAACCGAUAACCGAUAACGGAUAUCUUAUCAGUUCGGUUAUCGGUUUAUCAAAUUUGUAAACCGAUAACCGAUAUGCUAAACCGAUAAUAUUCAUAACCAAACCAAACCAACCGAUGCUCACCCCUAACCGGAACCACCGUGAGGCGAUUUCUGGUAGGUGGUUUGUGGCGGAGGCGGCGAAUGUAAGAUGGGGCGGUUAGGGUUUCUCAUCAGAGAGGGUGAGAGACAAAAAUGAGCCGAGUUUAGGGUUUUUUUUUGGGGGGGGGGAGGUUGACUAAUUUAGGACAGUAAUAUAGUUAAUGAGAGAUCAGUUCUAAGCCAUUAGAUCAUAGAGAUCCAAUGACUGUGAUUAGGAGGGGACAAAACGAGGUCGUUUUGGACUAUAAGGAGAUGGACCGGGUAAGGUUGGUUUGGGCCUGGGUCUGGCCAAGUUUGGGGACGAUUUUGACAUUAAAGAGUGCUUUUUUCAAUUUAAUUAAAAAUCCUAAAUAAAAAUCCUAAAUUAAUCCAAAUUGUGAAACUAAACUAAUUACCUAAUUGCAAAAAUUAUAAAAACCAUUUAAUCAUAAAUUAAAAGUGAAAAAUCAAUAAUCUAAAAGUAGAAGGAAAUAAUGUAAAAGGCCAAUUUUUGUGAUUUUCAUUUUUUAUAAAACAAGUAAUUACUGAUUAAUCCUAAAAUAUAAAAAUAAAGCCUAAAUGCAAUGCAUGGUAUUUUUGGUAUUUUUCAUAAUUUAAAUAAAACUUAAACAUACACAAAAUGCAAACAAUUAAAUAAAAUUCUACAAAAAUUCCUAAAAUGCCAAAUAAUUAAUAGAAAAAUAUAUUUUCUUGGGAUUUUAUAGGAGUAUUUCGUAUAUGACAAAAAUCACAUGCUCACAGCUGCCCCUCUUUGCUCGGGAACAUGAAGCGUUUUCGGGCUAAGAUAAAAUGAGCAAUUACAAGCGAUUUUUGCCCGUUUGAAACUCCAUGAGAAGCAUCUUUUGAAAAAGCCUGAUCGAACCUUGCUUCGGAGGUUGCCUACAUAUCCUUGGCAAUAAAGGAAUCAAGUCAGUGUAGUUCUGGAAGUUUUGGUAGCUGGGACUAUCGGGAAGCUGUGAUUUCACUGAUGUUGCCGUUGUUUCUGCUUGCUGAGCUCCUUAUUACGCCAAGAUGACAGAUGAAACGCUAAACUAGCUAAGCCUAUCAACUACGAGUUACAAGAUUCCUAUCUAUAAACCUUCUGAAGCUUGAUCUUGAAUCUCGGAUGGUUCUUCCUGCAGACUCCGACCCGAAUCUUGAUGCUCGUUAGCUGCAACCGCUGGUUCCUUCUUCUUCAACUUUUCGGAUCAGGGCGGGACAUGCAAAACUUGUGACUUCAAUCAUAUCUUGAGCAGUCCGCAUAUUUUCUCUGCUUUUAUUUUUAGAGUUCAACUUCUUUUCUUGUUCUUCUUUCUUUUAUUUGGGUUGAGAAUUUUUCUUUUGGUCAUCUCAAACCUUGCGCCUCACGGCGAAAACCUGUUCAUGCACCAAAGCAAAACAAACGAAUGGAAUUUCUGCCCUAAUUUUCACUAGGAAAAUUUCAUGAGUUAUUGCAACAACAUCUAAACUAUAUGUAUUAUUGAAAGCAAUAAAAUCAGGAUUGUGUAUCCUUAGGAAAAAGAGAUUAGGGAGUGUAGCCCUAUAUCUACAAUGAAAUCAACUAGGGAUCGGGGGCCCUGAGUUGGAAAUAUUGCCAGGUUAUGCUGGAAAAAUGGCCGGUUUAUGACAGAAAGGUCCUCGGGUUAUGCUGGAAAAGUCAUCGGGUUAUGCCGAAAAAGAAAAAGGUCCUCGGGUUAUGCCGGGGAAGUCCUUGGGUUAUGCCGGAGAAGGUCAUCGAGUUAUGCUGGGAAAGUCCACGGGUUAUACCGGGAAAGUCAUCGGGUUAUGCCGAAAAAGAAAAAGGUCCUCGGGUUAUGCCGGGGAGGUCCACGGGUUAUAUCGGGAAAGUCAUCGGGUUAUACCGGAAAAGAAAAAAGAAAGCCCUGUAAUGAAAAAGACUACCAGGUUAUGCUGUGAGCGACUAGGGAAUGGGACCCUAUGUUGAGAGAACGUAGCUAGAGAUUGGGGACCCUAGGCUACCAUGAUUUUGAAUCUUUUUCUUUUUCUUUUCUUUCUUCUUUCUUUUCACUUUUUAUUUUAUUUAGGGGAAAUGAAUGAAGAGUUUUUUAAAAGGACUUCCCUUUUUCGUGUCCACUUUUGCUGCAGAAACGUUUUGGUUUCUGCGUAACUUGUUUUUAUCGCACCUACUUCUUGCAAAGUUGUCUUGGACUGCACCUAUUUUCAAAUCAAAGAACAAUUUAUCAGUUUGAAACGGUGGUUGGUUUUGUGGCCUUGAGUGUUUUGAUCUCGGCCCAACUCUUUUGAUGAAAUCCUUUACUGCUCGCUGGCUUUCUGGAGACCAAUCUCUCUUCUAAAACCAGGUAUCUUGCCUUUCUUAUUUUUCCUUUAUGGGAGCUUGACUUUGGAUUUCUUUCCUUUUCAAUAAUUUUGACUCUGGAUCAUCGGUCAUCAUGGCCAGUCGAGAUCGACUUGAUACACCUGCUGAGGGUGGGUACCUUUACUUGAACUUGGAUUUUAUUAAAUAGAACCCUGUAAAACCAAUCUUGCCAUCUUUUCUUUGUAUUAGUUUUGGAGGAGGAUUAAACCGAAAGGGAUUCAAAGAAGAGUAAAGAAAGGACAUGAUAAUGAAUUUAAAAAGAAGUGUCCCUUUCGGGGGAGGAAAGAAGGACUUAUCUGGAGUGCAUGCAGACUUCAAUAGACAUGACAUGCUUCUUGGACUAGAUACCCGAUCUGCGCAGCUAUCCAAUCUCCCAUAAACCCAUCAUGACUCAUGUUUUAAAACCGAGAAACCUCGCUAGGACUCUAUCAGUACCAAUGGUUGUAAGGUAUUCUUCCUUUUUUGAUCAAUGGCACCCUUUGCGGGUUUUUGCCAAUGGACCUCUCUCAUUUCUCUUCUUACAGUCGCCUUAUAGUGCUCUUCGCGAGUUUUUACUAACAAGACUCUUCAUUUUUUAGUUUCUCUGCUCAUCAUCGCCUUACGGUGCCCGUGUGGGUUUUCACCAACAAGACUCUCUCAUUUUAAUUGCAUCGGAUCUGAGUAGCUGCGUUCUCUGAUCCUUGAACACUCUCACCGAUCGAUCGAAGGACUUGAAUAGGGUUUUGGGGUAAAAAGGAUUUGGAUUGAGUUACAACUUUGGAACCUAUCGGGCAAAACCAUCGCCGAACCAUUAUAACAUCUGCCCCAGUUUCACUUUUUUUUUGGGGGGGGGGGGGGGAAUUUGGAUUUUUGUUUUGGUGUGACUGAACCCCAGAGAGAGUCUGCCUAUAUAUCCUUUUGGAAUUAAGUCAAACGUAGUUCAAGGAAACUUGUUUUUUUGAUUUUGAUUGAUUUUUUUAUUUUUUUACAAACGUUUUCAGGUUUCAAAGAAGGUAAUCAAAGAAAGGUAACCAGAUCAAAAGGGUUAGCAAAAGGGUUGAAGUGUUUGGGGUAGGAGAAUGAAAGCCUUCGUCAUCCCAAUCGGAUAAUAUUAGUACCGCAAAAAGGUUAAACGUAAUACCUUUUGACCGCGUCUGCAUUUACAACUGUUUCAAGGUCAUUUUCUUCAAUGUCUCCUAGGUACAACGCCCCUUUUGGCAACAAUUUUCUGAUAAUGUAUGGGCCCUUCCAGUUAGGAGCGAACUUUCCUUUUGCUUCCUUUUGUGAUGAGGGAGAAUACGUCUCAAAACGAGUUGCCCCACUUCAAAAUUCCUAGGCCGCACUUUUUUGUUAUAGGAAGGGGCCAUUCUUUGUUGAUAUAACUGCCCGUGGCAAACUGCGGUCGUCCGCUUUUCAUCAAUCAAGGUUAACUGUUCUAGACAGGUCUUGACCCACUCACUAUCCUCAAUUUCAGCCUCAAAGAUGAUUUAGAGAGAAGGAAUUUCAACUUCUGCAUGUAUUACAGCUUUAGUGCCAUAAACCAAUAGAUAGGGUGUUGCCCCAACUGAUAUGCGCACAGUUGUGCGAUAUCCCAACGAUGAAAACGACAACUUUUCAUGCCACUGUCUCAAACUUUGGAUCAUCUUUCUAAGAAUCUUCUUGAUGUUCUUGUUUGAUGCUUCAACAACACCAUUAGCUUUGGGCCGAUAAGGGGUAGAAUUCCGAUGCGUGAUCUUAAACUGCUCACAUAUCUCCCUCAUCAAGUGACUAUUCAAGUUCGCGGCAUUGUCCAUAAUGAUAGUUGUAGGAAUACCAAAAUGGCAGAUGAUAUUGGAGUGCACGAAGUCUACCACUGCUUUCUUAGUGACGGCUUUGAGUAUGACUACUUCAACCCAUUUUGUGAAAUAGUCAAUGGAAACCAAUAUGAAUCUAUACCCAUUUGAACCUUUUGGCUCGAUUGGCCCAAUGACAUCCAUACCCCAAGUAACUAACGACCACGGUGCUGAUAUAGGAUGCAACUCUGUAGGUGGUGCAUGAAUCAGGUCGCCGUGCACCUGACACUGAUGACAUUUUCGGACAAAGCUGAAGCAAUCCUUUUCCAUGGUCAUCCAGUAGUAGCCUGCUUGAAGGAUUUUCUUUGCCAGGACGUAUCCAUUCAUAUGGGGUCCACACACUCCUGCGUGUACUUCAUGCAUGAUUUUUUCAGCUCUUGUGCAUCCACACAUCUUAAAAGAUUGAGAUCUGAAGUCCUUUUGUACAAAACCUCUCCGCUCAAGAAAAAGCCACUAGAAAGCCUUCUAAUGGUUCUCUUUUGGUCUCCAUUGGCUUGCUCGGGAUAUUCUUUGGCUUUCAAAAAUCUCUUGAUAUCAUGAUACCAUGGCUGGACAUUUGGUUCCGUCUCAACCGUAUUGCAAUAACCAUGCCUUUCUCGGAUUUGGAUUUCCAACGGGUCAAUGUGGACAUUGCCUGGAUAUGGCAACAUCGAGGCCAAAGUAGCGAGUGCAUUGGCUAACUCAUUGUGAAAAUGAGGAAUGUAUCUGAACUCGACUGUCUUGAACCGCUUGUUAAGAUCUUCCACAUGUUGUCUGUAUGGAAUAAGCUUGACAUCCCGAGUUUCCCAUUCUCCUUGAGCUUGUCAGGUAAUCAGAUCCGAAUCUCCCAUGAUUAUCAAUUCUUCCAUAUCUUGGUUGAUUGACAUAUUCAUGCCCAUAAUGCAGGCUUCAUACUCGGCAGUGUUAUUUGUGCAGAAAAAUCGAAGUCGGGCUGUGGUUGGAUAGUGUUGACCAGUGGGUGAGAUCAAAAUCGCCCCAAUCCCGACACCUUUUGCAUUCACAGCUCAAUUGAAGAACAUUUUCCAAGCAUUGGUAUCUUCUGAUGCUACCUCAACUGAAUUUACUUCCUCAUCCGGGAAGUAAGUACUCAAAGGCUGAUAUUCAUCAUCAACAGGGUUUUCAUCCAGGUGAUCUGCUAAAGCUUGGGCUUUCAUUGCUGUGCGGGUGACAUAGACUAUGUCAAACUCAGUAAGCAGGAUUUGCCAUUUUGCUAACCUGGCAUCGGCUUCUGGAAUAUGUACUUCAAAGGGUCCAGCCUGGUGAUGAGAUAAGUGGUCUAGUCCAACAGGUAAUGCCUAAGCUUCUGAGCGACCCAAGUUAGGGCACAACAAGUCCUUUCCAACAACGUGUAUCUGGCUUCGUAGCUAGUGAACUUCUUGCUCAAAUAGUAAAUUGCCUGCUCUUUCUUCCCAGUCACAUCAUGUUGCCCGAGGACACAUCCGAAGGAAUUCUCCAAGACUGUCAAAUAUAAAAACAAAGGCCUCUCAGGUUCGGGUAGGACCAAGACUGGCGGAUUUGACAGAUAUUCUUUGAUUUUGUCGAAGGCUUCUUGACACUCAUCUGUCCAUUUAAUCACCACAUCUUUCUUUAAUAGCUUAAAUAUGGGCUCACAUAUGGAUGUCAACUGAGCAAUGAACUGGCUGAUGUAAUUUAACCUUCCCAACAGGCUCAUAACCUCUUUCUUGGUUUUCGGAGGAGGCAAAUCCUGGAUAGACUUUAUCUUUUUUGGAUCUAGCUCAAUGCCCCUCCGACUGACUAUAAAUCCCAAGAGUUUGCCAGACGGAACUCCAAAUGCACAUUUAGCUGGAUUUAGCUUCAAGUCUUACUUACGCAGCCGCUCAAAGAACUUUCUCAGGUCCCGAACAUGGUCGUCCUGUGUUCUAGAUUUCAUGAUAACAUCGUUUACAUACACCUCGAUUUCUUGGUGCAUCAUGUCGUGAAAGAUGGCAGUUAUAACCCUCAUAUAACUUGCUCCAGUGUUCUUGAAACCAAAAGGCAUGACCCUGUAACAAUAGGUGCCCAGGGUGUAGUGAAAGCUAUCUUUUCCGCGUCUUCUUCAUCCAUCAAGACCUGAUGAUAUCCAGCAUAACAAUCCACGAAAGACUGUAUCUCAUGUUUGGCACAAUUGUCAACAAGGAUGUGGAUAUUUGGCAAAGGGAAGUUGUCUUUGGGACUUGCUUUGUUCAGAUCUCGAUAGUCAACACACACUCGAGUCUUCCCAUCUUUCUUUGGUACGGGAACCAUAUUAGCCAGCCAUAUGGUGUAUCGGACCACUCGGAUCACCCCCGCCUUCAACUGUUUGGUGACCUCUUCUUUGAUCGUGUCACUGAUAUCAGUUUUGAAAUUCCUCUAUUUUUGCUGGACAGGGGGAUAAUCGGGGUAAGUCGGCAACUUGUGGACCACCAAAUCGACACUUAAUCCUGGCAUAACAUCGUAGGACCAAGCAAACACAUCUUUGAAUUCGAACAAAGUUGGAUUAAUGCAUUACUAGUUCUUUCAUCCGUAUGAAUGCUUAUCAUAGUUUCUUGGACCUCUUCUGAACUACCCAAAUUAACCGGCUCGAUUUCAUUUAAGUUUGGCUUAGGUUUAUUCUCGAAUUGUUCCAGUUCUCGGUAUAUUUCCCUAAAAGCCUCUUCUUCAUCAUAUUUUGGUUCUUGAUUCAUUAUUUCACAAUUAGACAGCAUGCUAUGAUCUGGGCAUGAAAUCCGCAAGCAUGUCAUAUUAUUUAAGUCCGCAUUAUUGGAACUGAAAGGAAGAAAUAAGAAAAGUAACAAAAAUAAAAAAGAAUAAAGGAAGAGAUUCAUAGACGAUGAAAUAUUGAUUUCAUUUCAUUGAAUUUGAAGAUAGUAGGGUUUACAUUAGAACUUUAAAGACAAUAAACUAAAAUAAACAUUCGAGUUACAACCUGGAAUAACUCGGAAUGCAAAAAAGGUGGCAAGACUGGACUACCGGGAUUCCCGCUUGCCUGGGAACGGAGUAGCCUUCAAUUUUGUAGCUUGGCAUUGGGCCCCAUAAAUUGCACCUCAAUAGUUCUUGAGCCUUCACCAGGCUGGACCAUGUGAGCUUCAUAUAACAUUUGCCUCAUGGCUCCACAUAUGUCCUCAAUUUCCUCGCCCGUGAAGGCCUCAUCAUCUUCUUCUUCGAUAUACUUGGGCUUGACGAAUGUUUUGUAGAGAUGCGGGACUGGCUGGGAUAGAACCCAACCAUUGUUCUUUUGUUCAUUUGCCCACAUCACAUCAGUUUCUGUGGCGUAAAAACCCACACUGAAGAACUUCUCGCUGGCAGCUAAAGUGAUAGGUUCUGUAAUACCUUGCAAUGAUGCCCCGAGUCCCUUCCCAGGCUUAUAACCAUGCUUGAUCAUUUCAGUAGCGACCAUGAUGGACGCAUUUGACAGAAAUGGUUGAGGACAUGGGCUUCCCUCCUCACAUUAAUCUGCGACCACAACCUCGAAAGCUUGAUAGACUAUAUGCUCGCUACCUUCCCUACCUUCGAGAUAUGGGACUGACGGCUCCUAGUAAAUUGAUUGCUUGUCUUCUCUAUGAACCAUAAUUUCCUGAUCUUCGUGUUUAAACUUCACCAUUUGGUGGAGGGUAGAAGGUACGACCCCCGUAGCGUGGAUCCAAGGCCUUCCCAAUAGAAAAUUAUAGGAGGUAUCUAUGUCCAAGAGAUGAAACGUCACUUCGAAAUCCACAGGACCGAUAGUCAAGAUCAAAUCAAUUUACCCUAUUAUGUCUCUCUUGAUGCCAUCAAAGGCACGCGCACAGACAUUGUUAGGCCUGAUUCUCUCAGUCCCAGUCUCCAUUCUUUGCAAAGUUGAGAGAGGGCAGAUAUCAACUCUAGAUUCGCCAUCCAGCAUGACUCUUUUCACAUAGUACCCCUCAUAUUUAACUAUCAAAUGGAGGGCUUUGUUGUGGGCAGCCCCUUCCGGGGGCAAAUCAUUCUUGCUAAAGGAAAUCUGAUUGACUGCGAAGAAUCUUUCUGCCAUCCUUUUCAGUUGUUUGACAGUGGUUUCAAUCGGAACAUAAGCUUUAUUGAGGGUAUUUAUCAACACUUUUUGAUGCUCAGUUGAGCUUAUCAGCAGAGACAAAAGCGAGAUCUGAGCGGGAGACUUCCGGAGUUGGUCAAUUAUCUCGUAGUCCACAAUUUUUAUUUUUCGGAAGAACUCCCCUGCUUCUUCGGCACUAACAGGUUUUUUGAGCGGGAAACGCUUUUGUUUGGCAUUGUUCACUUCCUCCAGAUUGAGGUAUUUCCCAUAUGGGUUGGUUUCAUUUACUUCUCCUAUAAUUUCCUUCCCCUUGUAUGUUACAAUUGCUCUGUUGUAGUUCCAGGGGACUGCAGUGGGGUCUUUCAUAAGCCUUUAUGAUGCGCGACUAAUAAUCACGGGCUCGUUCAACUUGGGUGGAAUUACCAGCCUCCACGCUAUAUAAGUCCCUUUGGGUAAAUACAUCUUGGUUCCCUUGUUCAGCUCGAACCUCUUAGGAGGACUCAACGCCAAUUGUUUUUUCCUGUGAGCUCGGGGAGCAUAAAGAAUGUCGUCUUUAGGGGGUACUGCCCCUGUUUUGAUUUUCACAAUCUUUUCUUCACUUCGAGGAGUGGAGCUACUCUUCUUCUCCCCUUAUCUUGAUUUGCGGUAGCCUUUGGAUUCUUUUCCACAUCAGUGAUGGCAAUGAUGGCUUUUAGAGCUGGGUCAAACUCUUUAUCUUCACAAAUCAUCCCAAUAACUGGCCCGUUGUUGUGGGCCAACAAUGGGUUGUUGGUCAAGUUAGGGACCUCUUUAUCUUUAAGAACUACCCUCUUUUGCUCUAUCAAGUUUUCAAUUGCCCUUUUGAGAGUCCAAUAGUCUUCAGUGUCAUGCCCUUCCACCCCAGAAUGAUAGGCACAUCGGGUACCGGGUCGAUAGGAAGGUGACUUUGGGUUUUGUCUAUUCGGGGGUAAGGGUUGCAACAAACCCAUUUGGACUAGUUUAGGGAAAAGGCUAGAGUAUGAUUCACCAAUAGGCAUGAAAUUUGUUCUUCUGGGUGGUUCUCGAGCACGGGCAUUGUAUGGAAAAUUAUUUUGAGGGGGGCGGGGAUUAUAUGGAGCUUGGUGAGGAGGGUUGUUUCUAGGAAGUGGAGCUCUAUUUUGGUUAAACUGUUGUUGUGGCCGAGCGUAUGGCUGAGUGUUCAUUACUGCGUAUGGCUGUGGAGCCAUAGCAUAGGCGACAUCCUGAUGAGGAUAAUAAUGUUGUGGGGUGCUUGAAGGGAAGUAACCUUUGGGUGGACGAGGGUUUCUCAGACUUGAAGCCGCCAUCGCCACCUCUUCUUUCUUCUUUCUGUUUGCUACACCUCCUGACCCGCUUUGAAUUGCUUGGGACAUAGCUCUUAUGGCAGAUUGGAUCAAUAUGCGACCUGUUUUCAGACCAUUUUCGACCAUCUCACCAAUCUUGAUAGCCUCAGCAAAUGGCUUUCCCAUUGCAGACAUCAUAUUCUGAAAGUAGUCAGCCUCUUGGGCUUGUAGAAAAACACUGACCAUUUCGGUCUCAUCCAUCUGGGGCUUGACUCUGGCCGCUUGUUCACGCCAUUUAACAACAUAUUCUCGGAAACUUUCCAAUGACUUCUUUUUGAGAUUUGACAGGGAAUUCCUGUUGGGAGCUAUGUCUAUGUUGAACUGAAAUUGUCUGAUGAAAUCUUGAGCCAGAUCGUCCCAUAUGCGCCAACGAGACAUGUCUUGAUCCAUGUACCACUCGGAUGCAAUGAUGCAAUGCCAACUAGACUCUCUCCAAAAUAAGCCAUUAGGAGCUCUUCUUUUCCACCUGCCCCUCUUAAUUGAUUGUAAUACCUCUUGAGGUGGGCUAUGGGGUCCCCGUGCCCGCCAUAUUUUUCAAACUUAGGGGUCUUGAAACCGAGGGGCAAAUGCACAUGCGGGAACAUACAUAGAUCAGCGUAGGAUACGCUCUUUUAUCCGCUCAAGCCUUGUAUACUCUUGAGGCUCUGUUCCAUGCUCCUCAUUUUUUGAGCAAUUUCCUCUUGCUCGGGGUUCUUUGUAGCCUUCUCCUGUCCCACGAUAAACUCGUACCGGGGUUGUUGUGGGUAAGAAUUGGUGGUGAAAUGGGUAGGUUCUGGUGGAAAAGAUGGUACUUGGAAAGUGAAGGAUGAUGGAUCAAAGCUUGGCCUGGGCAAAGUUGGUUGUGCCGGAGCCGAAGUUGGUGGUGCGGUAAAUAUAUUAGAGGCCACUGCCGAAAUCACCUGGGGGCGAACCUCAGAAGGUGUUCCGACAAAGUGAGCUGAGAUGGUGGGGUACCCAAGUGGGGUAUUUGGGUAACUUAUUGGGACAUUGGGAUUUCCACUUGCUCUGGGAAGUAACUCGGGGAAACUGGGUGUCCCACAUUUCCAGCACGUGGAGGCGCAUGGCUCUAUUCUCUUCAACAACUGCUGACUCUAAGGUUGGGAUAACCGAUAGCCGGCUAUCCUUUGGGAUGAGAAUUGUUGGUGGAUGACCUUCUGAUGACAUUUCUAUACUGCUCUUGGAUAUUGUAAAGUAAGGGUGUGAAGCCAGGUUACCACAAACCAACCACCUUAAAAAUAGAACCUAUACUCAACAUUAGACAACAAAUCGAUUAGUUUGAAGCAAUUAAUACAUAGGGAAUCGCACAUUAGGGGUGUGAUGCACCUAUACAGUUAAAUGUGUUUCUAUAUGUUUUGCAACGGUCGCAUGUCUCAUCCCAGCUUUUGUUUAUCUCCCUGAUCUUCUCUCUUGCUCUCUUUUGCACUCUUAUUUUCUCUCCUGUUCUCAUUCUCUUUUCUUUGUUUUCUCUCUUUUCUUUUUGCUUUCUUUUUGGUUUUCUCUUUUCCACAUUUUCUCUUUUAUUGGAGUUAUUUACAAAAAUCAUUAUCGGAUCCGAUGAUGAUUGCUUACGUAUUAUGAUGCUGCGUGAAUCAAAUCAUUACGUAGUUCAAGGAAUAAAUGCGAAAUAAAUAAAACAUUAUUUGGUUUUUUCAAAUUUUCAUUAAAACAAGACUUCUAAUUUUUCUCUAUUGCAAAGACUCGAUCCUACAUACUUGGGAAUUGAAAACUAAAACAGACUUUAGGAAUGAAAAUACAGACUCGAAAAUAGGAAAAUAAUCAGGAGUACAUCAAUGCCUCCAAACUUGCCAUAGGAACACCAUCUGGUCUUGCUGCAGGCCUACGCGCCAUGUCAUCCUGGAGGCAAUAGAGAUCAUCCAUUAUCUGGCUAACAAAGAUCAUUACUGUGGCGAAGAACAUGGAUCCGUUCAUGUCCUCGCACUCAUUACACUUCAUCACAAUGUAGUCGGUGAUUCUUCUAACCCUUUCCCUGAUGAUGCCCUUUUCUUGCAAUAACUGCCUAAUCUACUGAGAUAUAGCCUCCAAAACUUGGGUGGCCAUAUGAUUCUGUUCUUGCAAAUGCUGUAGGUCUUCCUCUAGCUGUGCCAUCAAAGCAUAGCAAUGUUCUCUCUCGGCUUUGAAGCUCUUGGCUUAUUUAGUCAUUUCAACCUCAAGGCUAUUAAGCUCCUUUUUCCAACCCAUGACCCCUCUGUCAUAUCUUUCCUUCAACUGUCGAACAAAAGUUGCCCGUUCUUCUGCAUUUUUGGCCAACUUCGUUUGCACUUUUACUAGCUCAAACUCAGUCUUUUACAAAUCAUCCUUAAAGUCACAUGCUUUUUGCGUAAGGUUGUAGAUGAGCCUUUCAUCUUUUCUGCUUCUGCCCUGGUUCUCAGCUGCUAUUCUCAUUUUUCGAACUUGGGCCCAGAGAGCUUCAUUUUCUUGGACCAACCUUCUUCUUUCACCUUCAACUUCUUGUGCAUGUAUAUCAUUAUUGAAUACGACGUUUCUCAAUUCCUGGCCAAAGUCAAUGUAUCCGUCCAUUUCCUCCAGAGUAGGGGUGAGCUCGAAAUCCGAAAAAUGGAACACGUUGUAGAUAGGAUCCCAAAAGGUUACCAAGGCUUUGAUUAAAUCCUUCUAGGGUUCGAUGAUCAUGAUGUCUAUAAGGGGACCCAACUGCUUUUUUACCCAAUCCUGGCCAUAUUUAUCUAAAUCAUUUCACCAUAUGCGAAGCUGCAGCUGAGCCUGUUCUAUGACCAACUGUGACGGGUUCUGAACAAUAUUCAUUUGUGACGGGUCCUGGAUAGUAUUCAUUUGUGACGGGUCCUAGACAUUAUUCAUUUGUGACAAGUUCUGGACAAUAUUCAUUUGCACCUGUGGAGGGUUAAGGUUAGGGUUGACUCUUGUGGACUCAUUUUGCAAAAUAAGUUUUCAAUUUCUAAAAGAAAAAAUCAACGGACAAAGACCCCCUUGAUGCUACUUUUAGCAAAAAUGACAUUUUUGUAAACGUGGCCCCUUCACAAUUCCCAACAAAUUUUAAGGCCGGGGGAAAGUAUUUUAUGGAAAAAGACACUUUACAGACAGACUUGCUCAUUCUUCCCGAAAAUAGCCUUUCGACAAUUAAAAGAUAAUCUAAGGCUAUUCUGGUAAGAACGACUUAAAAAUAUAACCGAACCUGGGCUGACUUAUUCUAUUGACCAAAGCCCUAAACUACACUUUACUUUAUUACUUUUAAGAAAAAAAUGAGGCCGAACCUUAUGUUGAUUGCCUACGUAUCCCACAUCCGGUGAGAAUCAGACUUGCGUAGUUCAGUAAAAAAACAUGAUAUUUGACUUACUUUUUUUUUAAAUACAUUUUCCUUUCUUCUCUUUUAAUUUCAAAAUUUUUGGCAGAGUUUCGAGGCAUUUUCAAAUACCAGGAUUUUCAGAACCGGGUAAAUUCUCUAUAUUACCUCACUCUUUGUUUUUCUCUCGACUUUCUUUUCCUGGCCAGUCAACAUGCAAGUCGAAACAAAUAAAUAUUCACAUAGCACGUAGGAUGCAUCAGGAUGGUCUGUUAUUUUGGGUACACCUGUCCUAGACGGACCCAACCCCUGUGUUGAGUCCCCAAGGUCGAAUGUACGUGAUGCAAAUAAAUGUUCCUACUAAGGAUCCGGCAUGAGGUUAUGUUAUUCUAGGUUUAAACCUGGGGUUGUGUUCUAAACCUGGCUUACCCGUGCGGACAGACUCGAGUCGAGGAGGGGGAAACGUACCAGGAGCACGAAAGUCUGCCCGGCCUUGUUACUUGCCCAACCCCGUUCUAUUUGGUAUAACUCUAACAGAAAAGUGGGCCACGCGAACGCGAUCACCGUUUUUUAGAAGACUCAGAAGGGAGGCGUAAGAAGACAUUUAAAUACAAUUCAAGUAAUAUCAAAGCGGUAAAUAAAUGGCAAUUAGCACAUUAAGUCCACAAAAUAAAAUAAUAUCAACAAUAAAUAAAGCCAAUUAACAAGCUCGAAUUCUUGAACCCUGAACCAGAAGUUCUGGGUACUUAGAUCCCCAGCAGAGUCGCCAGAGUUGUCACAACUCCUUUUUUAUAUCCCGAGGGUAUAUGGGAGUUUUUCCAAUAAAGUGACAUUAUUCGAAACAGGAUUAUUUAAUUUAUCAGAGUCUCCACUUGGAAUAGUUUAUUUGGUGUCCCAAGUCACCAGCUUAUUUUAAAAUCCCAAAUCGAGGAAAUUUCGAUUUUUAUUUAAAGGUCUGCGAACUAGAAAUUCUAGAUAAGGAAUUCUGUUAAUCCGGGAGAAGGUGUUAGGCAUUCCCGGAUUCCGUGGUUCUAGCACAGUCGCUUAGUGAUUAUUAUUUGGCUUAAGUUGUUUAACUACUUAUUUUUAGAACCUAUGGGCAUUUAACUCUGUACAGCUUUUAAUUACUUGAUUUAUUCAAAAUUAAAGAAUUGAGUUACGCGUACGUAUACUCUUUUCUUUUGGCACGUCAAAAAUCAUGUCACGCGAACGUGUCCACAAUUAAUAACACUUCGUUUAUUUUUUUAGGAAAAGUUUGGUUGAAGUUGCGCGAACGCAUCCCUCGAGUUACUUUAAAAUUAAAUUCGCAAUUAUGUUACGCAAACGUAUACAUAAUCGCAAUAAUAAUCAAAAUCGAACCUAAAGCAAAUUACGAUUAUUUAGGGUUAUUUUAAUACUAGGUUAAUAUUUAUAUGAAGGCCAUAGGUUAUUUAAUGGAAAAUAGCACGCCUCAAACUUUUUUAACUAAAGGGAGUUUGCAUUUUUAUUUAAUUAAGACUAAAGAUACUAAUUUUGAAGUUCAAACUAAGAAAUCUUUUAACCAAAAAUGGGAAGGCUAGGCUUAGAAUUAUCAUUGAACAAUUGAAUUGGGCCAGGACGUUCAACAUUGGAUUAAAUCCAGAAAUACUCAGCUUUGACAAGUUGGAUUUGGGCUCCAAAUUUGGGCCCAUCAGAACGGGUAUUCCAGGACUGAAUUUAACUAGUGCUUGCCAACAUUAGGCUUCAGGCAGGCCCAAUUGUGAAUUUAUACCGGCUGGGCCUAUCCACCUUUGCGUUCUUAGCCAUAGCAUACACAUAAAUCAAGAGCUGCAAGUGAACUCACUUUUAAAUAGAGAAAAAUCAGAUUCAAAACCCAACUCAAAUUUGAAUAUUAAUUAUACUACACAUGAUUUUCAAGAUAAAAGAAACAUUACAUUUAUGCCAUGACCUAUAAGGAAAAGGGAAAGCCUGGAUUUGGCUUAAAUAGUAAUUAAGGAAGAAUUAGAACAGGAGCUCAAGGUCGUUUGGGCCUGAAGUUGAGCCCGGAGACAAGGAAUAAGUUCAAAUGAAGGCAGCCCACCCUGAGUUUCACCAGGCUACCUUGCCUGGCCUUAGCCAAGCCCAAACCAAAAAUUUUAAUUCUCUUCUUACAGCAUAUAAAAAAUCAACAGAAAAUAUCUAAUUUAAACCAAUGCUAUUAACAGGAACUAAACCUCAAAUUUUACCAUAUACUAAUCCAUGCCAUGAUGAAAUCAGUCUAAUAAAUAUAUACUUGUAACAGCUGGUUAGAUGCAUUAAUUGCAAUCCAGCGUACAAAAUAUUAAACAAAAUAUAGGCUGGAAUUUACAAAUACAGCCUGUUUAACCAAGUUCUUUACAGUCCACUUAUUACAAAAAUCUGAAUACAAUGGCAAUUUUACAGCAGUAAACAGACUUUUGCAUUGCUAUUAAACCAAAAAUACUGCUUUCUUAAAAAUAUUCUAAGUAACAGUCCAAUCUACAGCUGCUUUACUAACUAUAUUUAGGCUAAAACUAUUACAAACUUGCAUAACUUAUAGAAAAUUCCUGCCUCUUUUGGACAUGGCUUGUCUAUUAGAGCUUGGUCUUUCUUUGUUAAAAGAACAGUGUGAGUCCCAUUUUAAGGCUUCUGAACCUGCUGAUUUAACCAACCAGCGGCUAAAUUAGCAGGCUAUAGCUCAUGGACAAACAAUCAAAGAAAGAGAAAACAAUGGUUUUAAGUAAAAGAAAUGAGAUGAAAGAAGGAAGGAAAGCAUAACUCAAAUAAAUCAUAGACAACAUCAAACCUAAAAGUUUUGCUAUGAAGCAAAGCUAUUUGUGCAGUUUAAGAACAUUUUCAUACUACCAAAGUGCAUACAAAACACAAAAAAGCUGAUAAAAAAAGUGAACACACAUUUAUUUCUACCAUUGAAUCAGACAACAUAGACAUGAAGUAUAGAUCUAGACUGAAGAUUUCAUUUGAUGUAAAGAUUGGUUACAUACCUUGAAACAGAAACAACAAAGAUGACCAAAUAAAGGUCAAGGAAAAAAAAACCAAGAAGUUUCAGCAACCAAACACAGCAACAAACCCAGUACAAUGACACUCAGAAUGCUAGCAAAAUGAACCAGUUUUUAACCAGCAGUCCACGACCAAAGAAACCAGAACUUAAAAGAAGCACUGAAUCAGAUUUUUGCCAUAAUAGGAGGAAUUUUCAGAGGUUUUAGUUCGAAAAUCAAUAGUAAGGAACAAAAGAAUCCUUGAAUCCUCAAAGUGCUUUUUUCCUUUACUUUUGGUAAUUUUGAGAAUGUUUUCCGAGGUGUUUUCAGGACCUUUUUUUGUGCAGAAAAAUGCUGAUGAUUGUAUGACUAUGAUUCUCUAAAAUCAGAAUGAGAGAGCCUACAUAUAUAGGCUGCCUAUGGAGGGUAUCUUUUUGGGCAUAUUCCUUAUCCUAGGGUAAAAAUAGUAUUGUCCUUUUACAACCCUUGGUAUAGAUGUCCUAUAUUUCAGCAUCUUUAAUAACAGCUAGGAUAGCUAUACAUUUUCUAGAAACUUCUAAUUUUUUAGCCUAAGUGGAAAUCCAUGUUUACCCUUUGAAUUACCACCUAUUUCAGUUAUAUCCUAAACUUUUAGGUUCAGUUAAGUCCCUAAAGUUUCAAUUGUUAUACAAACCAAGGCAAACAAGGACAAACCUAGAGAGGAUCAACAGUUCGAAUCAAAAAUUGCCCAAGAGAAACAAAUGGCUACAAUCUAAAUCUUUAAACAAAUUAAUAUGCCUAAACAGUAAUUCAAACAAAGUAAAGAUGCAAUUUGCAAAGGAGACCUAGAAUUUACCCUAAAUUAGUUUGUAAACUUAAGCAAAUAAAACAACAAAUAGCCUAAGAACUUGUUAAUUCAACUAAGAUGAAAGUGGCUAUGAAAUUGUGGGAAAAAGAACAGGGUAGAUAUUAACAAUAAAAAUUGGUUAAGCUAAACUCGUGCAAUUAGAAGCAUGCUUUAAUUUAAUUUAAUAAACUACAAUAAAUGCCAAAAAGAACUAAAGAGCUGCAACAAAAAAGAGAGAAAUCCUAAAACUACCAAACUAAAAUCAUGCAACCAUAACAAAAUAUGCAGAAAAAGAUGGAACAAACAGAAAAGUGAGAAGAAAUUACCUAAGCUUAUUUUCCAACUUAGGUAGUCAAAGGCCUGUCUAAACUUCGAAAGGGGGAUAUGAACUUGUUUCAUCCAUUAAUUGAUUGUUCUUUGUCAAGAAAAGUCGGCUAAUGGGCGUUUUAAGUUCUUAGGUCUCAAACAUUGACCAAAAUCGAGAAGAGAAAAUUAGGGUUUCAAAGGUCUCAAAUUCAAAAUUCGGGAAUUUUUGGGCUUGUUUGAAGGGAACGGUUAUGAGAUAUGGAAAGAGGAAGAGAAGGUGAUUGUCUGAGAUUAAUUUGGUGUGGUUUGGAGUAGUUAGGGUUUUGGCCUUGAUUUCGAUCCAAGAUCCGAGAACUUUGAUGAUAUUCGAAAGAAAUGGAUUGGGGAUUUGGAAUGAGGAGGUUAUGGGGGUCCUGUGGUGUUUAUUUGGGGAAGAUUGGAACACCGGAACCGCCAUGAGGCGAUUUCUGACGGGUGGUUUGUGGCGGAAACAACGAAUGUAAGAUGGGGCGGCUAAGGUUUCUCAUCAGAAAGGGUGAGAGACAAUAAUGAGAUGAGUUUAGGGGUUUGGGGGGGGGGGUUGACUAAUUUAGGACAAUAAUAUGGUUAAUGAGAGAUCAGUUCUGAGCUGUUAGAUCAUAGAGAUCCAACGGUUGUGAUUAGGAGGGGACAAACAGGGUCGUUUUGGACUAUAUAGAUAUGGACCGGGUAAGGUUGGUUUGGGCAUGGGUCUGGGCAAGUUUGGGGACGAUUUUGGCAUUAAAGAGUGUCCCAAUUUCAAUUAGAAAGCCCCUUCUUUCAAUUACUUCUUUUUUAUUCCUUUUACUUUUUUUUCUCUUUUUUUUUAAAUUAAAAAUCCUAAAUAAAAAUCCUAAAUUAAUCCAAAUUGUGAAAUUAAAUUAAUUACCUAAUUACAAAAUUAUAAAAAGCACUUAAUCUUAAAUUAAAAGUGAAAAAUCAAUAAUCUAAAAAUAGAAAGGAAAUAAUGUAAAAAUAGGCCAAUUUUUGCGAUUUUCAUUUUUUAAAAUAAGUAAUUAUUGACUAAUCCUAAAAUGUAAAAAUAAAGCCUAAAUGCAAUGCAUGGUAUUUUUGAUAUUUUUAUGAUUUAAAUAAAACUUAAACAUGCACAAAAAUGCAAACAAUUAAAUAAAAUUCUACAAAAAAUCCUAAAAUGGCAAAUAAUUAACAGAAAAAUCUAUUUUCUUGAGAUUUUAUAGGAGUAUUUCGUAUAGGGCAAAAAUCACAUGCUCACAUCUGAUACAAUUCGUUCCUUUGUAUUUAGAGUAACUAGUCAGAUGUCUAGUUCAAUCCUAAAUGAAAUCAGAUAAGAGACCAACAGAGGAACAGAUAGGGAUCAGUUCCCCUGGUCGUCAUGCAGUCAACUCUACAAUUGUAAAAGCUAUUACACUGUACCGUCUAGCAGUAGCACAACAACACAACUGUAGCUUGCUAAGUCUAAACUAAAGUACACUCGCUUGCAUCAUCUUUCAUGACCUCACACAUAUAUUAUCAACAUGAUGCAAGAGGUUUCGCUUAACACUUGCAAAUCCAAAAAUCAUCCCUCUCAAAUGCUAGCUACCACAUUUCUCAAGAACAAAGUUGCUGCAACCUCAAGGACCAGAUCCAUAGAUUGAAGAUAUCUUAAGUCCUUAGGUUUGUUGAAUCUUUGUCAUUUUGUUCUUCAUUUGUAAUCCUAUACUACUUUCAAGAAGUGUCUUUGUAGGACAGAUUUCAACCAUUAUUUGGUUUAGUUUUUUUACUAGAGUUAGUCAAGGUUUGUUGCUUUAUAAUAGAGUUAUUGCAUUUAUAAUAGAGUUAUUGCAAAGAGCUUACAAUACCCUAUUGUUUAAGUUUCUAGCAUUUUUUGUUAUGUUACAAACCACUGAAUAUUACUCUUAAAAGGUAGUAUAUGAUAAGUUACGCGUCUUUUGUUUUGAUGAUUUGACAAACUUCAUGAGAUAACAAUAACGAAUCUGAUACAAUUAGUUUCUUUGUAUUCAGAGUAACUAGUCAGGUUUCUAGUUCAAUUCUCAAUGAAAUCAUAUAAGGGAACAACAUAGGAACAGAUAGGGAUCAGUUCUCCCGGUCGUCGUGCAAUUAACUCUACAGUUGUAAAAUUUAUUACACUGUACUCUUGUCACGAUCCAAAACCCACAAGUCGUGAUGGCACCUAACCCAACCCGCUAGGUAAGCCAAAUAAUAACUAUCCAAUUCCAAUAACAUUAAUAAGGUAAUUAAACAAAAUAAAUUAUCUGGAUCUAUUACAUUUCUGAAGGACUGGUAGUACAAAUUAUGAGCUUCUAAGAGUAGAGAUUACAAAGCUGAUAGGAAAUAAAUACAUCUUCUGUUUGAAAAGUACAUAAACAGAAUUUUAUAAUCUAGGGUAAAAGGGCCUGAUAUGCCCAUCUACUAUGAUAUAUUGUUCAAUACCGUCCCCCCUUAUACUUUCAAUCCCUUAAAGCCCUUACCGUCCGACAAAGUUGUAUAUUUGUCCCUAUUUUAAUGGCUAGGACACGUGGCACUCUCUAAAAAACCAAGACUCCACUACAUUAAAUAAACCCAACCCGCCCCAAUUCCCUUGCCCUGCCCGACUAAUAAACUCGACUAACUAAGUUAAUAUACUAAAAUCACCAUAAAUAACACAUAAACAAAAGAUCAAAACUGAGAAAAGGAAAAAAGAGUGGGAUGGGUUCCAUCUAGGGUUUCCGUUAGUGGACAAAAUUCUGGAUCUAAGACUCGAGACAUUCAAAAAGGUGAGUUAUUUCUUCAAAAAUUUCAUGAUUCAACUUGUAAAGUGAUCUUUCUGCUAAUUUUGUUGAAGAAUGUGUGAUUUCUACAUAAUGUUUCGAGUUAGGUUUUUUAUUUUCUGGUAAACGUGCAUAUGUCUGUUCUUAUACAUGCUUCCUACUCUGUUAUUUGUCGAUUUAUUGUUAUUUUGUCGUGCAUGUGUAUCUUUUGAGGUGGUCCCUUAAUUUCUAAUUUCUGAUGGUCUAUUAUUGCUUUGAGUUUUGUGUUUUUUCUUGUGUAAGAUCGAAUAGAGUCCAAAUAUCCCUUAUGCAUGUGAUUAAGUACAUUGGAAAGUUGUAGUUCUGCAUUCUUUAUUAUAAUGUUCUACAUUCUUUAUUGAAGAGUAACGAUCACUGUUUUUUUCCCAUUCUUUAUUGUUUGAUUUCUGAUUUCUUUAUUAAGUGGGGUCCAUUUUGUAUAAAGUAUUACUUUAUGGUCAUAAAGUUUUUACAUUAUCUUAUUUAUGUUUGUAGAUGGUUCUUGUCGACCUAGUUUUCAAUUAUAGGGGUGAUUGGAUUACAGAGCCACACCUAGUCUAUUCAAAGAAGUUGGUCCACAUCUGGAAAGAUAAAGAUUCUGACCUAUUGUCUUUUAAAGAUAUAGUAGAUGAAUACAUUCUUAAGUUAGGGUAUAUAGGGGUAUAACAAUUAAUAAUUGCUAGCCCAUCUGGUAAGUAUUAUGAAGUUGAAGGAGAUAUAGGGAUUAGACAGCUUUUAUGCCUUGUCUGUGAGGAAUUUAAGGCACUAAAUGUCUAUGUUGUAGAUGAGUGUAAAGAAAGUGUUUGUGUCUCAAACAUUGUCAACUAUACUGAGGCUUAUAUAUCUCAAGUAUUAGUUGGUACUGAUGAUAGUAGUAGUGAAGAUGAAGAUUAGGCAGGUUCUGAUGGCUUGGCCUAUGAUUCGGAAGAGUUAGAACAAUUUGAGGCUUAAAGGAAAAAACAUCCUAGUGAAAACCUUAAUGAAUACAAAGAGAUUCAUAAAGGCAUGUCUUUCAAGGAUAUUCCUGAAGCUAGAAAGUUUAUGAACCUUUAUUCAUUGGUUAAUCAAAUGAAAUUAGAGCUGUUGAAAAGUGACAAAAUUAGAGUGAGGUAUAAGUGUGUAGAGGGCUGCCCAUUUAAAUGUCUUAUUUCCAUUGACAAGGGUAGUGAGCGGUGUAAAAUGAAGACACUAAAUCCAUGAUAUGACUGUAAUCCUGCUUUUGAUAACAGUAGGGUUGAAUAUAACACUAUAGCUUACUACUUCAAGAAGAAGUUGCAAGACAACCCUAAGUAUAAGGUGAAAGAAAUGAGGGUAGACCUGAAAAAUUUAUUUCAACUUAAUGCUAGUAAAUCAAAGGUUAAAAGGGCAAAGAGAAUGAUAUUGGAGAAGUUGGAAGAGAGUUUCAUUGAUGAUUAUAACAAGCUUGAAGCAUAUGCCAAUGCUUUGAGGGAUAGUAAUCCUGGAAGUGAUGUGGUUAUUAAUUUAUCUAAAGAAGCAUUGUUGCAAGGCAAAAGGAAAUUCCUUAGGAUGUGAAUUUGUUUUCAAGCAUUGAAGAUGGGGUAUAAAGAGGGCUUGAGACCAUUUAUUGGGCUUGAUGCUACAUUCUUAAAUGGGAAGGCUAAAGGACAGUUGCUAGUUGCUGUUGGGCAAGAUAACAUGAAUCACUUUUAUCCACUUGCUUGGGCUAUAGUUGAUAGAGAAACAAAAAGAAGUUGGACUUGGUUUCUGGAGCUUCUUCACAAUUCAUUGGACUUGAAUAUGGGCAAUGGAGUCACAUUUAUGACGGAUAUGCAGAAGGUAUUAUUUCAUUACUAAUCUCUUAUAACUUUAUCAUUACUAAUCUGCUAAAAUAUUUUGAUAUAUGUAGGGAUUAAUGGAGGCAAUAAAGACAGUACUUCCUGAAGCAAAGCAUAGGUUCUGUGUGGGACAUGUAGAGUCAAACCGGUGCAAAGAGUAUAGAGGUCUUGAAAUGAAGAAGUUACUUUGGUGGAGUGCUUGGGCCACUUAUGCAGAAGACUUCAAGGAUCAGUUGAGCAAGUUGGGAGAGUUGAAGGAAACAGCUGUUACAGUCUUGUUAAAGUACCCACCCCAGAGUUGGUGUAGGGCAUACUUUGACACUGUCUAUAAGAAUCAAGGUGUGGAUAACAAUUUUACAGAAUCUUUCAAUUCUUGGAUAUUAGAAGCUAGAUACAAGCCCAUCAUCAAGAUGUUGGAAGAUAUAAGACUCAAAGUAAUGAAUCAGUUGAGAAAUCAUGAAGAUAAGGUGAGAACAUGAAAGAUAGACUACAGUCCUCAAAGCAUGAAGCUUUAUAAUGACUAUCUGAAGAUAGCUCAUUCCAUUGAGGUUGAUUUCAAUGGUGAUAAUGGAUUUGAAAUAGAGAAGGGGUUGACAAAUUCAUUAUCAAUUUACAGGGAAAAAUAUGCACAUGUAGAGGAUGGGAUCUUUCUGNNNNNNNNNNNNNNNNNNNNNNNNNAAUAACAUAUAAUAUAAUACUCAUAAAUUGCGGAAUUUUAAUGUUAACAACAACAGGAACCAUCCCAACACAACCCAAAUCGGGGUGUCACAAGUCAUGCGCUACUAUAAAAUUUGCUAUAGGUCUACAAAGUACGGAAUCCUAUACAACAGUCUGAAGAAAAACAUAAAUGUUAGAGGAUAAGGGAGACAAGGGGCUGCAGACGUCAACAGCUACCUCAGAACUCCAAAUCACCCCUAGCCUGGAUAGAAUCAGCGCUCAGGUGCGGACUCUACUAUGCCUGAAUCUGCACACACGGUGCAGGGAGUAAUGUGAGUACUCUGACUCAGUGAGUAAUAACUAUAAAUAAUGGCUGAAAGUAUGAAAACACGUAAAGGCACAAAGCAAUUCCAUAUCAAGCAGUAAAAAUCACUUAAAGCAGUAAAUUAGUGAAGAAAUCAAAUGAUAUUCCUUUUCAAACAAGUAAAACCGGUAAUUUAACAGGUAAAUAACAAGUAGAAAUUCGCCCCUCGGGCAUAGUAUCAGCCCCUCGGGCUUAGUAUCAAUCACUCAGAACAGUGUCAGCCCCUCGAGCUCACUCUUAGAAUAGUAUCAGCCCCUCGGGCUACAUCACAAUCACUCAUAUCAGCUCCUCGGGCAUAGCAUCAAUCACUCAGAACAAUGGGUACCCGCGCUCACUGUGGGUGUGCAGACUCCGGAGGGGCCCCUUACGGCCCAAGCGCUAUAUCAAGCUACCUCGUGGCAUCAUCACUCGGCACUCCGCCUCACAUCACUCGAGCCACCUCGUGGCAUAUAAAGUAUCUCAGGCCCUCGACCUCAUAUCACUCAGCAUAUCCUCACAUAUGGCCCUCGGCCUCACUCAGUCCAAAAAUCAUCACAAGCCCUUUGGGCAUUAGUAAAACAGCCCAAAACAUGAUGUAGAAAUAUCAUUUAAGUUUCAAAUCUGAGUAAAAGUGGUUGAGUUUGUAAAACAGUAGAUAUCAACAGGAUUGAGUUCAAAUAAUAAGUUAAGUAGUGAGGAACAGUAAUAAAAAUCUCCGUUGGCACGAAACCCAAAUAUGGCAAUCAACCCAAAUCAUGAUGAUAACAAAUAUAUUUCAGUCAAAUAUUCGGUAAAAUCAUCAAUCGGGAUGGAUCAAGUCACAAUCCUCAGUAGUGAAAGACCCCACGCUCAUCAUCCAGCGCGUAUCUUGCCUCAAUAUAGCACUACGAUGUGCAAUCCGGGGUUUUAAACCCUCAGGACAUCAUUUACAAUUAUUACUCACCUCAAGCAUGUCGAAAUCCUCGCUCGCUACUCCCUUGCCUCGCAAAUCAACCUCCUCGAGCAUCGAAUCUUAUCAAAACCACAAGUAAUACGUUACAAUAGGCUAAGGGAAUACAACCCAAUCGAAAAGACUCGAAAAAUAUCGAAAAUCACAAAGUUGGCAAAACCCGAACCCCGGGCCCACUUCUCGAAAAAUCAGAAAAUUGACAUCACCGGAUUCCUUAUCUCGCCACGAGUCUAUACAUAUCAAAUUUACCGAAAUCCGAGCUCAAAUGCUCCCUCAAACCCCCAAAUUUCUAUUUCAAUAGUCAAGCCCUAAUCCUUCCCUUUUUAAUCAAAUUUCCAUGAAUUUAGAUGUUGAAUCUACAAUUAAAUGACGUUUCUAGGCCAUAGGACUCACCUCCAAUCGAUUCCCAAUCAAAACCCUCUUUAAUACUCGUCAAAAGCUCCCAAGGUUACUCAACAAUAGAGGAAAUGGGACUUGGUUCGCGGGUGAAAUGUUUAUUAAAACCCUUCUAUCAGCCCAGAUUUUACUCUAUGCGAUCGCAUCCAAGCCUCUGCGAUCGCAUAGCUCAACUUUCCCAAGCCUCCAAAAUGUCCUAUGCGAACGCGACCCCUUAAAUGCGAUCGCACUGCUUUACCAAUCAAACCUACGCGAUCGCAUACACUACUCCGCGAUCGCAUUGAGCAAAUCCCCUCAGAACCUCAGGUCCAUUUAACACUACACGAUCGCAUUACUCCUUAUGCGAUCGCAAUGAACAACCUCCUCAACCUUUGCGAUCGCAUACCCUAUUCCGCAAUCGCAUUGAGCAAUCAGAACGGCCUUCCCCAAACCUUCUAAUGCUAUCGCAAUUGCACUCCUGCGAUCGCAGAGAACAAAAAUGUUUUCCAACACCCAGCUGAAAUCUGCAACUUCAAAAACCAAGAUUGGUCUGAUUGACCAUCCGAAAUCACCCCGAGGCCCCCGGGACCUCAACCAAAAGUGCCAACCCAUCCUAAAACAUCAUUCAAACUUGUUCCAAUCAUCAAAAUACCACAAACAACACCAAAACCAUCAAAUUACAUCGGAUUCAAGCCUAAAUUUCUUAAAAACUUCCGAAAUACGCAUUUGAUCAAAAAACUGACCAAAACACCUCCGAAUGAUCUGAAAUUUUGCACACACAUCCAAAAUCACCUAACGAAGCUACUGCAACUCUUGGAAUUCCAUUCCGACCCCCAUAUCAAAAUCUCACCUACCAACCGGAAUUCGCCAAAAUACUAACUUCGCCAAUUCAAAGCCUAAUUCUUCUCUACAACUCCAAAACCCAUUCCGAUCGCUCUCCUAAGUCACAAAUCACCUCCCGAAGCUAACCAAACCAUCAGAACUCACUUCCGAGCCUUCUAACACAUAAGUCAAUACCCGGUCGACUUUUCCAACUUAAGCCUUCUUAAAAGAGACUAAGUGUCUCAUUUCUUACCAAAUCCUCUCCGAACUCGAACUAAUCAACUCGAUCACAUAAAACACGGAUAACGAAGCGUAAAGAAGCUGAAAUGGGGGAAACGAAGCGGUAACUCAUGAGACGACUGACCGAGUCAUUACAAAGACCCUUUGAAAGAGAUGCACUGGUGGUAUAGCAAAGAAGCCUUUCUACUUACUUACAAGCAUAAGUUACAACAUGUACCUAAUUCUGGAAGAUAGACCUAUCUCAAGCCAUAGAACCUCCAGAACCGGUGAAACAAGCUGGCAGGCCUAAAGUCAAAAGAGAUCGACAAAAGGAUGAGGCGAGCAAGAGGCAAAGGGAGUGGAGUCAGUCUAGAAAAGGUAGAAUUAUGACUUGUGGCAAUUGGGGAGAGGCAAACCAUAAUGCGAGGGGAUGUAAAAAGGUAUAGACCCAAUUGUUAUUUAUGAACUUGUUAUUAUACUUAAUUUUUAUUAAAUAUUUCUUUUUUGCAUUAAACAACCAUUGACUAUGCCGAAAGUGACAAAGAAGAAGUAGCCAUCAAAUGAUGGGCAGACAUCUAGGGCUAAGAAGCCAGCCAAAAGACAAAGGACUUUGCCUGAUGAAGACACUAAUGAUGAUGAGGUGUUGGAAGAUAUCAGUUUAUCAGCACCCCAAGUGUCUCAAACAAGUCAAGGCAUUGGCAGCAGUCAAUCAUUUAUAUUUAUGCCUACUCCAACUCUGGAUCAUUUUUCUGAUGUUGAUAAUGGUCCUGGACCUCCAUUAAGGCCUAGUAUUAUAUCAGAAUCUCAAACUAGACUUAUGGAAAGGCAGUAGGUUGGUAUAAACACCAGGACAAGGACAAUCAAGUUUACAAGAGAUAACACAGGUGUAAGUGAACAUGUUGAUCUGCCAUACUCCCCACUAAACUUGACAUGGAAGGGAAAGGCAACACUCAAUCAUUCAUGCCAAGGAGUAAUUCACGCCUCUAAGCAACCGAGCAAGUUUCUACUCCAUGAACACUACUUCCUUCACGAAUAACCACUCAAUCAUUCCAUGAUUUCCAUAUACCCAUAGAGUGUAAUACAACCCAUAUCCAAAAAUUUCCUUACUCGAGUCAUUCUCGAUCUCAACCUUUGUAAGCCAUAACUAAUUCACCAAUAUACCUCAAACUAAAACUAAUACAACACAUAAUCGUUCAAUAACCCGUCGAUAACAGACUCCCAUAUUUGGCACAAAGCCAAGGAAUAAAGCAUCUGAUAACUUACAAUACCCAUACUCUGUUACUGCCAAAAUCCAGCACUGAAAUUCAAUAAAAUCCUUCAUAAGCUCAUGUAACACAAACCAUCUAAUAUCUCAGAUCAUCUGCAAUUUUUGUAUUCACCCUUGUACCAGUCAAGCGAACUUCCACAAGCUAUCCAAGCUCAAAUUGUUCUACAUAUAAUUCACUGGUAAAAGAGGACUCGCUAUAAAACAACAUAGGGAUCACACAAACCUCAGGACACCCCGCUGGAGAUAACCCACCUGCUUUGCCUCAAAUUAACAUCUCCUCAUACCCUUCCACAGUCAUAACUAUUAUGAAACCACUUAAUCUUCCUGAGUCUGAACUCAUAUCAUGAAAUGAAAAUCUACUUCAUUCCCCAACUAAACAACAUUAAAAGAUCCUUCAACACACCCAUAACUCGAGACUACACAUCAAAUCAAGAUGGAAAUCAAGCACCAGAUAGUUCUUUCUACACCUCAAGCAAACCCUGCUCAUCACAUUCAAACCAUAGGAACACAUCUCGCAGUCACAUCAUACUCAUCACGUAGCCAUCCAACCACAAAUUCCACUAAUAGGGGCAAUACUGGACAUAUAAAUCCAAAAGCACGUGCUCAUACAAUCAACAUCUCUGCGCUCAAGCUACAGUCAAAACCCGACCUCAAGUCCUCCAGACUGGCCCUUUAUCAACACACUGAAAUCACAUCUCGCACCUCAUCCAUGAAAUCACAAGCCGUCUAUGCACAGCUGAUACCGAGGGCUCAUGUGCACACACGAAUGCGUGGAAGAAAUUCAAAGAGUUACGCUUCAAGCUGAAUCAAUGCCGAACGAUAAGAAAAGAAAGAUGUGAAGUAUAUCCUAAAUUUCCUGUAGCCUCUCGAAGAUAGGUAUGGACGUCAUCAUACUGAUCCGCAAGACUCUACUAGACACUUGCUCAUGACUUGUAGAACCUAUGAACCUAGAGCUCUAAUACCAAUCUGUCACGACCCAAAACCUACUAGUCGUGAUGACACCUAACCUAACCCGCUAGGUAAGCCAACUAAUAACUAUCUAAUUCCAAUAACAUUAAUAAGGCAAUUAAACAAAAUAAAUUAUCUAGAUCUAUUACAUUUCCCAAGGAUUGAUAGUAUAACUCAUGAUCUUCUAAGAGUAGAGAUUACAAAGCUGAUAAGAAAUAAAUACAUCUUUUGCUUCAAAAGUACAUAAACAGAGUUUUAUAAUCUAAGGCUACCAUGAACAAGAGGCAGCUACAACCGAGAUGCAGGUACAUAUUCCAAUCCAGCUUCCGUCGAACACAGCAACAUCGACAUUCAAAAUCUGCACGCAAUAUGCAGGAAGUGUAGUACGAGUACAACCGACCCCGUGUACUCAAUAAGAAACAAACCUAACCUUAGGUUAAAAGUAGUGACAAGGUGGAACAUAGGUCGGGUUCAACAACAAUAACCAAUAGCAGUUCAUAACAACGUAGAGCAUAUAAAUAAGGGAGUAACUUAGAAUAAAAUGCUCAGCUUUCUUUCACAGUUUUUCCGAAAAUAGUUUUGCUUUUUAAGAAUAUCAGUGAAAACUCAAAUUCUCUUCCGAAAUCAUCGUAAAAUAUGAUAUAGUUUGAAAACUAUAAAUAUUUAUAAAAAUCUUUUUCACAAUAAAUAAGACAUUUCAAUUUUUUUCCAGAUAGCAAGUGUGAGAUACCUCUCUAAUGUGUGUAAAAAGUCAUGAAUGAUGUGAUACCGUACAACAUGAGAAAAAUGUUUCUCUAUGCAUGUAUGUCAUAUAUGCAUUCGAAUGCCAUGUAUCUCAAAGAUGAAUUAUGUACUCACACUCUCAGAGUGCUCAAUUUCACUGUCUCACACUUCCCACUCAUCAUGCGCAACCACUUGGUACUGUAUAUAGCCCAUACAACCCAUAUACAAUACUGACUAUAAGUCACCCAAUAUCGAGUGAAAAGGGCAAUCCAACCCUGUGGAGAAAUCCAUCUCCAAAUAUCAAGUACUUUGGACAAACCCAUGUCUAGGGCAAUCCAUCCCUCUAUAAUAUCAUACGCGCUCACUGGGGGUGUGUACAGACUCCGGAGGGGCUCCUGCAGCCCAAGCGCUAUCAUAGUUAUCAAUAUAACCACUGGGGCAUGCAGCCCGAUCCCAUAACUGUCACUCAUAAUCAGGCUCUCAGCCUUACUUGGUCAUCAAUCUCUCCAGUCUCACCCAUGGGCUCACAAUGUCAUGGAAGCUAACCCAGAACAAUGAUAUGAUGUAUCAAUAAAUAACAACUGAGACUGAGAUAUGUAAUGAAUGCAUGAAUAUGACUGAGUACAAAAUAUCAAUAAAAUCAGUGAGAUGACACCAGACAACGACCACUAUAGGUCCUAACAAUAUUAGCAAAAAGCCUAAACAUGAUAUCUAGCAUGAUUGACAGCCCAGUUACUUUAUCACAUGGUAAAAACACAGAUGUCAACAAAAUAGGGCCAUGGAAACAACAGAAUCAUAAUUCACAGGGUGCACACCCACACACCCGUCACCUAGGAUGUGCGUUACCUCAAUACCAAUCACACAACACAUAAUUUGGGGUUUCAUACCCUCAACAUUAAGUUUAGAAGAGCUACUUAUCUUAAACAAGCCAAUUCCUGACGCCGAGCAGGCCCAACGAUGCUCUAAGAAUACCAUCUCAUGCGUAGCGACCUCCGAACGGCUCAAAACUAGCCAAUAACAACUUAAAAAUAUCAGAUAAAGCCCAAGGAAACUAUUACAAGUGAUAAAAAUCGAAUCCUAAAUUAAAUCACAAAUUCGGCCAAAAAUCACACCCAGGCCCGCACCUCAGAACCCUAAAAAAACUCAUAAAAUUUGAUAACCCAUUCGAUUACGAGUCCAACCAUACUAGUUUCACCCAUUUCCAACUCCAAUUCGAUGUUCAAAACUCAAAAAUUCAUAUUAUGAAACUCUAGGCCAAAACCUCCCAAUUUCACUUUAAAAUUCAUCAACCAAUUGCGAAAAUGAAGAUAGAUUCAUGGAAUAUAACCAAAACUGAGUAGAGAAAACUUACCUAAUACAUAUGGUAAAAACUGCUUCAAGAAUCACCUCAAUCCGAGCUCCAUAGCUUCCAAAAUGCAAAAAUAGCCGAAACCCUCGAAAUAAAGUACUUUAUAAUUGCUGGGCGAAUCAAUGAAUCGCGAUCGCGGAAGCAACUUUGCGAUCGCGAAGAAGUAAAUGCACUGCCCCCUAAAAAUGCACUACAUAAUCGCGUACAAAGGACUGCGAGCAUGAAGAAGAAGCGGACACUGCCCAGCUCAGCCAAACACUCAACGCGAACGCGAUGCUCAAAUUGCAGCAGCCUACGUGAUCGCGUCUGAAGACUCGCGAACGCAAUGAACAAUUUCUCCCAUAAUUCAAAAUAACUCUAUGCGAUCACAAUCCAUACCUCAGAUCGCAAUUAAGGAUACCAGAUACUUAGUUUCUGCACAACCGACAAUGCAUAAUGAAGGGAAAAUAGUCCGAAACCCGUCCGAAACUCACCUGAGCCCCUCAAAACCACAUACAAAGAUACCAACAAGUCUAAUAACAUAACACGGACCUACUCGAGGCCUCAAAACACGCAUAAAAAUAUCAAAAUGAUGAAUCACACCUCAAUUCGAACUCAAUGAACUUUGAAACUUCAAACUUUCACAACUGAUGCUGAAAUGUAUCAAAUCACGUCCGAUUGACCUCAAAUUUUGCACACAAGUCAUAUUUGACAUUACGAACCUAUUCCGACUUCCGGAAUCAGAAUUCGACCCUGAUAUCAAAAAGUCCACUCUUGGUCAAACUUCCAAAAAUUCCAACUUUCGCCAUUUCAAGUCAAAUUCUACUAUGGACCUCCAAAUCACAAUAUGGAUGCGCUCCUAAAUCCAAAAUCACCCAACAGAGCUAACAAAACCAUCAGAAAUCCAAUCCAAGCUCAAAUACUAAAAAGUCAAAACUUGGUCGAACCUUUCAAAUUUUAAAGCCUCUAACUCAGAAUCAUUCUUCCAAAUUAAUUCCGAAUAACCUAAAAAUCAAAACCGACGGUCCAUAUUAGUCAUAAUUCAUCAUAAAGAGCUUUUCAUGCCCUCUAACAACCGAACUAAGUGCAAUUGCUCUGAAUGACUGGCCGGAUCAUUACAAUAGUCUAGCAGUAGUGCAACAUCACAACUGUAGCUUGCUAAGUCCAAACUAAAGAAUACUCACUUGCAUCAUAUUUCAUGACCUCACACAUAUUUUAUAAACAUGAUUAAAGAGGUUUCACUUAAUACUUGCAAAUCUAAAAAUCAUACCCUCUCAAGUGCAAGCCACCACCUUUCUCAAGAACAAAGUUGCUACAACCUCAAGGACCAGAUCCAGAGAUUGAAGAUAUCUUAAGUCCUUAGGUUUGUUGAGUCUUUGUCAUUUUGUUCUUCAUAUGUAAUCCUAUACUACUUUCAAGAAGUGUCUUUGUAGGAUAGAUUUAAACUAUUAUUUGGUUUAGUUAUUUUACUAGAGUCAGUCAAGGUUUGUUGUUUUAUAAUAGAGUUAUUGCAAAGGGCAUACAAUAGAGUUAUUGUAAGGGGUGAAGGAUUAAGAGAUUAAUCCUUAGAUUACAAUAGGAUGUAAUCUGAAGGUUGUCGUGGUUUUUAAUCCCUUGAGCAAGGAGUUUUCCACGUAAAUAUCGUGUGUUCUUUAUUUACCACAUAUUUAUUGUGGGAAUAGAUAGACAACCUCCUUCCAUAUACUGUUUGAUUUUACAGUCUGUUGCUUACUGUGGGAAUUGAUAGAGAACCCGGUUCUCUGUAUUGUUUGGUGGACUCCUACUUUUUAUCAGUUAGUAUCAGAGCAGAUGCUUUCUAAAAGGUUAACACCUAAAAAGAAUCCCAUAGUUGCUCCACGAAACUUUGAGGAAGGACAAUCAACCAACAAACCACCAAGAUUCAACGACCAAUACUAUGAUUGGUGGAAAACAAGAAUGCGUGACUUCAUUAUGGCUAAAGGCUCAGAGUUGUGGGAUGUAAUAUAUGAUGGGCCUUUUUUUUCCCAUGAAAACUAUUGGUGAGAAAAUAGUUACAGUCCCAAAAAUAAGAAAAUAGUACAAAUAUGCCGAUAGAAAGGCUAUUGAGAAGAAUUUUAGGGCAAGAAGAUUCAUCUUUGUGGCAUCGGCCCCGAUAAAUACAACCACAUCUCAGUCUGCUAAGGAGAUAUGAGAAGCUCUCCAAACUGCCCAUGAGGGAACUACUCAAGUUAAGCAGUCAAACAUUGAUGUGCUUACUACUGAGUAUGAGCUUUUUAAGAUGAAGGAGGAUGAGUCUAUUCAGAACAUGCAUACAGUUUCAUCUCCAUUAUUAAUGAGCUUCACUCCCUUGGAUAAGUCAUUCCAAGAAACAAGUCGGUCUAGAAAAUAAUCAGUGUGUUACUAGGAUCCUGGGAAAGUAAAUUAAAUGAUCUCACUGAAGCCAAGGAUAUACAGAAACUGGCCAUUGAUGAACUCAUUGGAAAUCUGAAAACCUAUGAGAUGAAGAGAAAGAAAGAUCUUGAAAGAAGAGAGCUCAAGACGGAGAAGAAUCUGGUUCUCAAGGCUUCCAAUAACGACUCAAGUAGUGAUGAAUACUACAUGAGGUAUCUUACUCGAAGAUUUCAAAAGAUGGUUCGUGUAAAGGGUAGGAUCCCAAAGAAAGGAAGUUCCAGCAGGAUUUUCAAAGAAAAUGAUUUCUAUCAUAAGUGUGAAAAGUUUGUACACUUCAUUAAAAAUUGUCCUCUUCAUAAGUAGGAUCAUGACACAACCAAUACUGAUAAGGCGGCUAAGUAGAACUAGGUCCCUAAUAGAAAGUUCAAAAGAAGAGAUGAUGCUGACAACAUGGUGAAGGAAUCCCUGACUGCAUGGGGAGAUUCCUCUAGUGAAUCUAAAGGUGAAUAUGACCAAGGAGAAAAUUCUAUGGUGGUUAUUGACAAUGGAUCUUCAGAAUAUGAGUCAAUCUUUGCACUCAUGGCCAAAUCUGAUGAUGAGGAGGAGGAAAAGGAGGAAGACGAGAUACGUUUUCUUAAUGUUCAAAGAAAUUUGAAAACUUCUCAAAGAAAAAAUUGAUGUCCUUAGAAAAUGUGUUGAUUGAUGCCUAUCGCAGCCUCGUUAAUGAGAAAAAUGCUUUAAUUGAAGAAAUUGGCAACAUAGAGCAAUAAAGGGAUAAUAUGGUAGUUUCUAUUAUAGACUUGAAGGAACAAGUAGAAGAAGUAACUAGAGAAAAUACCUUGUUGAAAAACUAAAUAAAAAAUAGAUGGACAUCCCUAAAGGAAAAGAAGUGGCUAGUGAGGCUCAACUUAAGCUGAGAGUGAGCUUAAGAAAGUUAAAACAAGUCUUGUUGUUGAGCUUGAAAAGAGUAGACAACUUCAAGAGGAUCUGAAAAGGAUUAAAAAUAAUCUUGAUAAGUCACUUAAAUGGACCUGGUACUCUGAUAUAAUAACAUCUAUGUACAAGAGUAAUGGUGGAAACUUGCAAAAAAUCGAGUUCCAAAUGGUUAAAACCUCCUAUAAUCCUCAUAGCAAGUAAGUAACUGUGGGUGAUAAAUGGAUGCGUACUCACUGUGGUCAAACUGGUCAUUACAAGGACUCUUAUAACUCUAAAAUUCAGUCUCUAUAGAAAAAUAAAGUUUUUGUUGAAUAUAAGUAUAUUAUUGAGGAACAUGGUCCUCUAAGAGAAAAAUAUGUGUUGCCUGUAUGGGCAAAAAGAAGUUUAAUUCUCCCGUUCUAUCAUUAUAAGGAACCCAAGAUGGCUUGGGUUCCUAAUUCUAAUCAGUAAUUUCGUGUGCAGGCUGGAGGGAGAGGUAUUAAUCAAAAAAUUGUAUAUGGAUAACGGUUGCUCUAAGCAUAUGAUUGGAAGAAUGAAUGAUUUCCUUUCUCUCUAGCUCUUCCAAAAUGGGAGGGUGUCCUUUGAAAACAACAAGAAAGGCUAUAUUCUUGGUGUUGGAAAAAUUGGCAAAAUACUCUCCUAUGCAAGUGAAAAUGUGUACUAUAUGAAUAGCUUGAAAUAUAUCUUGUUGAGUGUGUCUCAAAUCUAUAAUAAGGGAAAAUAAAGUGAAGUUUUGUCCAAAUCUUGCACUGUCACCAAUCUCAAAACUGCUAAAGUGGUGUUGAUAGCUAAAAGGUUCAAGAACAUCUAUGUUGCAGGCAUUGAUUCAUUGAAUGGUGGUGAUCUAAUAUGCUUAAGUGUCAUAGAUGAUGAUGCUGAGUUAUGGCACAGACGACUGGGGCAUGUGAGUUUUUAUUUGCUGAAAAAGUUGAUUUUAUAGGACCUGGUUCGUGGGCUGAAGCAGUCAACACUACCUGCUACUUGAUUAAUAAGUGUAUGAUCAAGUCCCUUCUCGAGAAGUCUCUCUAUGAACUACUCAAUGAGAGAAAACUCAAGCCGACUUACUCGAGAGCUUUUGGAUACAAAUGUUUUGUUCUCAACAAUGGUGGCAAAGGGUCACAUAACAAAGACGAUAAAGAUGGAGAAUUUAUAAUGUUCCUGCUGAAUCUAUAUAUAUAUAUAUAUAUGUAUAUAUAUAAUAGAAAGACUAAUUUGAUGAGUCAAGUCAAGCAGAGUGAUGAAGGAGAUGCAACAGAAACUUCAAAAGGCACAGAGGAACCUGGUCCCUUUAUCACCUCGACUAAAGCUGAAGAUAGGGUUGCUGAUGAUGCAUCAAGUACUCCUAAUGUGGAACAAAGGAGCGGAAGUCAUAAUUCUGUUGAUGUCAAUGAUGUUUCAAAUAUGGAGGAACCUGGUCCUUCAAAUUUUGAAGUUUAAUAAUCCAACUAGAAGCAAAAGAGUUCACAUCCCCUUCAAAGUGUGAUAACAUAAGUGCUCUAAACAUGACAAAGAACUUGGUACAACACAAGAAGACAAAGCAC